CCGCUUUGUAUUCCAAAGCAAACCACCAUUGACACAUCGCAAUGCUGGGGCGAGCAGCACAUCAAGCCCAAAGAAAAAGAGGAAGAAAGGAAGAAAAAAAAACUAAAAACGGCAAAGAUACAAGAUACCAAAGGAGCCACUAACAAGACUCGAAUACACCAAGCACAAGCUUGAACAUCGAAGCCCUCGGCGAACAGGAGCCAACACACGCCGCGGCUGAGCCGAGGUAGAUCCCGCUGCAGGAGGAUUGUCACGCUCUGUCAUCCCCCUUGGGCCAAGCCAUCCGGUCCGCCAUUCGUCUCUACCUCCGAAGAGAGCCCCCUGCCCUCUAGUCCUGGAUCGGAGGACACUACGCCGUCGACAGGCAGAGUCGCUCACCCCUGAGCUCGCAUGACCAAGACCAACAGGUUGCCGGGAGGGGACGACAAACACAACGACCGCACCAGGCAGCCGCACCACCGAGCAUCGCCAACGCCGCGCGCCGGCGCCAACAUCAACCGCAGGUGGCCGAGCAUGGACACCACUGACGAUAUCCGGCAGCCACCUCCCAUGCCAAGGCCUCGACCACCACUCCGUCGCACCAAGGUGGUGUUUUCAAGAAGAAAAACGACGCCGGAGCGCCGUCACCACCCAAUCCGGAGAUUUGGGGCUUUCACCCGGGACGAGGAAGGGAGGGCGAGGGGGGGAUUGCGAAGCCGCCUUCAAGAAGGGGAACGACGCCGGAGCGCCGCCGGCAUCGUGGCCGCAGAGAACAGCCAAGGGGUUUCCCCCAAUCCAUCCCCCGAAAGGAAGCACCAUCGCCAGAUCUGCUCCCAGGGCAAACGGGGAAGCCCCAGGAGCCAGCCACGCUCGCCGCCGAUCCGCCGCCCACGCGGCCAGGAGCGGCGCACCCCGCAUCUACAUCAGCCACCCGCCGAAGGGGGGGCGACGCGCUCCACCAGUGGCCGCCGCCACCACGCCAGGCGCCACCGCGCAGAACAUAGCACACCAAGCCCAACACGCCGCCGCCAGGCACCGGCCCCGCCACCGUUGUCCGCCGCCGCGCCGUCACGCCCUCGGCCAGCGCCACGCCGCGGCCCGCUGACCCCGACCCGCGUCGGCCCUAGUGAGCAGGGGGAAGGAAGGCCCCGCCGCCGCCGAGGCUGACCGGGCUUCGCCCGUCAGCGCGAGCCGGCGGCGGCGAGGGAGGAGUCGAGGAGGAGGGGGCCUGUUACCGGCGGCUAGGGUUUCCCCUCUGCGUCGCCCGCGGGAGCGACCGGGAGGGGAGGGGGGCUGGGGGGAAAGGGACCUUUUCAAAGUUUAAACCCUUCUAAACCCCCAUCCCAAGGUGUCCUCGCCAUACCCCAACCACCAAACCCUACCGCGGCCGUCCUCUCCGACGGCAGCACUCCCCCCCAUCUCUGCUAGCCUCCUCCGCCGUACCCCUCAUGGCCACCCCUCACCCCGGCUCCGCAUCUUCGAUAGCCCUCUCCCUUGCUAGGACGGUUCGCCUCGUCGCUCCUUCGCGGAAGCGGUGCGCUCGGCCGGCGGCCACCCCUCCGCAUCCCGCUCGCGGGGCUCCGCCAGUGGCCCGCGCGCUCCCUUCGCGCCGUCGCGGGUACGGUACCUGACUCCUUCCCCUCGACAAGGGGCCUUCUCUGCGUCCCGCUCGGGUGGCCCGACCCCUUCCCCUCGACAAGGGGCCUUCUCUGCGUCCCGCUCGGGUGGCCCGACGCCUUCCCCUCGACAAGGGGCCUUCGCGACCUCCCUGCGCCGUGCGCCCGUCGCGUCGUGCCGAGCCCACUCGCAGGUGUCUGGUCCUCGCUCCGGAGUCGUCUCGCCGCGCGGCCGCCCCGCCUGCGCAUCUAGUCGACGCCGACGGUUCGGAGCUGCCCCGCAACCAGCGCCACCGCCUCUGUCCACGUCGCGCGGCCGCGCCUAAGGCUGGUCAUAGUGGGGAGUAACUUAGAGUAGUAACAUGCAUAUGUUACUACUCUAUGUUACUAUCCUUAUAGUGGGAAGUGUCAUAUGUAUAGUAACAUACACAUGUUCAUUUAUUGUCUUGUAGACUCAUUUUGCAUUGGAAAACGCUAUGUGAUGGUAACAUAUUAGGUUACUCUAUUUACCUCUCUCUUCAUUAACUAAUUGUCACAUCAACAUUUUUACUUAUGUGGCAUCUAUGUUACUACCUAUGUUACUCCCACUAUGACCAGCCUAAGCCCCAUGUAAAGCCCAAUGCCGCCGCUGGUUGCCGAGCAACAGGCACGCUGGAUCCAAGUAUUAAAUGCUUGAAUUUUUUCGCUGAUUGAUUUCUGUACGCACGCACGCGACGAAACACUUGAAACAAUCAGAUUCCUACAUGCUCGUAUCGCGCAUACGUGCCUGACAGACUGAGAUUGCUGCUUUGUUUUGAGAUUUUUGUUUGCAUUGUACUAGUAAGCAUGAUUUGUAGUCCUUUAAAUGGCACUGUUAAAUUCUAAGUGACACUUCGCAUUCUUGUAAUACCAGCACUUAUGGUAUGAUGACAUUGAUACAACUGAUGUUCUAAAUAAUGUCAGAUCAUGCAUGUAUUUAUACUGUCGUCUAGCUAAUGUCUGGCAUUAAAUUUGUCAGGUGAGGCAGGAUGCUCCCCCAUGCACCAUAUCAAGGGAGUUUGGCGGAUGUACCCGUCGUUGAGAUUGAUGUUGCUAAUGCGGUUACUGACUACAACCUAGCAAUGAUACGGGAAAAGCUACGGGAGCUCAGAAAUGCACCAGCAACCUAUGAGGGUUGUCCAGUCACUCCGCCGAAUCACCCAAUAGGCGGUCCAAGCUUCCAUAUCAUAAGACUAAACAAUUCAGCGGUUCCCGGAACAUGUGUUGACUUCUUGAUAUGUGACACAAACGGAUAUUUGGUGGCAAUUCGUCGCCUGAUAGCUGGUGUAUGGAGUCAGUGGUUUCAUUUCAAAAAAGAGGGGAAUUCCAUGGCACAAUACAUGGCCGAGGAGGAUUACACAUCUCUGAACAUAGAUACAAGGCACGACAAGACAACUACCAUACCAGGAGGCUUAGACAUAGUCCUAGAGGAUAUCUUCUUUGUGCUCUCAGAUCCGGGGGCGACUGAUGCGGAGCUGAUCAGAGUAGUUAUGGUGAAGAUUAUGGUGGACAAACGGGCGUUGGAGUAUGGUUUGGAGGAUGAAAAACUAGAUGACACCCUUUGGUCGCUUAUUGGGAAAUAUCAGAAGAUGUCCAAUUUCACUUUGAGCUGCCGAGCCAAUGAUGGAGUUGGUGAUGAUAGCCUGUUUGAUCUUUUGGUGGAUUGCGAUUUUCAUAACAGGGAUGAUGUUAUUGGACCCCAAGGAGAACUUAUGCUUAUCCUCUACAAUGAGAUCCUUUUCAGUCAGUUGGUUAGUCUUCCUGUACAGAAUCAACCUAAUUUUAUUGACAGAUUUCCAUUGCCUGGGGUGUAGUAUUUGGAAAGCGUAGGACCCUUUGUCUCGGGCCGCAUGUAUAUAUUAGGCAAAGCCUUGGCAUACAAGUUACAGGAGGAGAUUGAUGGAACGAUCAGGAGAUUGACCAGAUCGGUCGUUACAGGAGAUCGAGAAGGAGAAGAAAGGAUAGAACGAAAUACAGAAUUUAAACAAACUCUAUCUCUAUACAACUCCUACUAUACGUAUAUUCCAACACCCCCCCUCAAUCUAAACCUCAAGGAGCUUUGCCAAGGUUAAGAUUGUACUUAAAAUCAUUCAACCUUCUUUCAGUAAGAGGUUUUGUAAAACCAUCUGCGAGUUGAUCUCCUGUGGGAAUAAACCGAAUCUCCAGAAGCUUUCGAGCUACUCUUUCUCUGACAAAAUGGAACCAACUUCAAUGUGUUUUGUUCGUGCAUGAAAAACAGGAUUUGCUGAGAGAUACGUCGCACCAAUAUUAUCACACCAUAAUCUCGCAGCCUGUGGAGUUUUAACUCCAAGCUCAUAAAGUAAUGUUUGUAUCCAUAUCACUUCAGCUGUAGCAUUAGCCAGGGCCUUAUAUUCAGCCUUUGUGCUUGACCUAGACACUGUGGCCUGUUUUCUUGCACUCCAUAACACAAGAUUAGUUCCCAGAAAUACAGCAAAACCACCUGUAGAUCUUCUAUCAUCAGCACACCCUGCCCAGUCAGCAUCAGAGUAUGCAGUAACAAGCAUAGAAGAAGACUUGGUAAUGUUGAGACCAAGGCCUUCUGAGAACUUGAGAUACCUUAAAAUUCUUUUGACUGCAGUCCAGUGAGUGGUUCUAGGUGCUUGUAAAUAUUGACAUACCUUGUUCACUGAAUAGGAUAUAUCAGGACGGGUGAGUGUUAAAUACUGCAAGGCACCUACGACACUCCUAUAGUUUGUUGCAUCCUCUGGUCCAAGAACUUCUCCACCUUCCACUGAAAGCUUCUCAGAGGUAGAAAUUGGUGUGUUAACUGGCUUGCAAUUUUCCAACCCUACUCUCCUGAGAAUGUCAGUUGUAUAUUUUUCCUAUGAGAGAAGUAUGCCAUCUUUAACUUGCUUUACCUCUAUACCAAGGAAAUAGUGAAGACCACCCAAGUCCUUAAGAGCAAAUUCCAGCUUCAGAUCUUUAAGCAAGCAAGUAGUGGCAUCUGAACUUGAACUAGCAACAAUUAUAUCAUCAACAUAAACCAACACAAAGAUAGUGACAUUGCCUUUGCUAAAGAAGAACAAUGAGGUAUCUGCCUUGGAUGGUAUGAACCCAAGACGUUGCAACUGCAUACUUAGUCUGGAAUACCAGGCUCUUGGGGCCUGCUUCAAACCAUACAAAGCUUUAUCCAACUUACAGACAUGUUGUGGUGUGCUAGGAUUCUCAUAACCUGGUGGUUGCCGCAUGAACACUUCUUCCUCAAGAACACCAUGAAGAAAUGUGUUCUGAACAUCUAGCUGUCUUAGACUCCAUCCUCUGGAAACAACAAUAGACAAGACAAGGCGAAUAGUAGUUGACUUAAUAACAGGACUAAAGGUAUCUUCAUAAUCAAUUACAAACCUUUGUUUAAAUCCUUUGGCAACUAGUCUAGCCUUAUACCUGUCUAUACUUCCAUCAGACUUUCUUUUGAUCUUAUACACCCAUUUGCAAUCAAUAAUAUUGUUUCCAUACUUUGGUGGAACCAAGUGCUAAGUCUUAUUUUUCAUAAGUGCAUUAUAUUCGCUAUCCAUAGCUUCCUUCCAAUUCUUAUUUGCAAGAGCAUCAUCCAAAUUUAGUGGUUCACCGGUGGUGGUAAGGAAUGCACGUUUGAUUUUGUCAUACAUUAUUGUACCGUCGUUGUACUGUUUUUCCUUGACAAUACCUGACCGAGACCGUGUUUGCCGAGGAGAAGAUGUAGGCAGCACAGAAGAAGUUGCUGCCACAGAAGAUCCAGCCGUCACGUGAUCUGAGGCGGAUCCAUGCAGCAGACCGGCCGACUCAGGCUCCUGAUCCGAGGCGAAUCUUCGCAGCACAUGCAGCGAAUCAGCGCGCGCUGAAUCCGCCGCCGCAGGCCCACGCUCGGAAACAGACGAUGUGGGGUCCGACCCGCACCCACGAUCGGUCGCUGUGGGGACCCGUGGAGGCGCCGCGUCCGAUUCGCUCCCCCCGCACAUGGGCUGUCAGCGCGUGGGGACACGGCGGGUGACGGCGCAAUGGGAUUGGCGUGAGGCGACGCUGCGGGACCGGUGGGCGCCACCCGGUCAGCGCGGUCGGCCACCAGCCCAGAUGAGGCCAGGCGCACGGGAGAAUCCUCCUGGGAUCGCGCGCCACCAGGAGCCGCAGGCUGGGCGGGCGAAUCAGCCUCGGAUCGCCCGCUGUCAGCCGGAUCUACCGCGGCUUCCGUGCCCAUCCUGUCUUUUUCUUCACACAUAAAAUGACAGGGUGAAUUUGCACAAAUAGCAUCAACAGAAUCAGAAUUGUCAUGGGAUUUUUGCAUAUGAUCGAGUUCGUUUNNNNNNNNNNNNNNNNNNNNNNNNNNNNNNNNNNNNNNNNNNNNNNNNNNNNNNNNNNNNNNNNNNNNNNNNNNNNNNNNNNNNNNNNNNNNNNNNNNNNNNNNNNNNNNNNNNNNNNNNNNNNNNNNNNNNNNNNNNNNNNNNNNNNNNNNNNNNNNNNNNNNNNNNNNNNNNNNNNNNNNNNNNNNNNNNNNNNNNNNNNNNNNNNNNNNNNNNNNNNNNNNNNNNNNNNNNNNNNNNNNNNNNNNNNNNNNNNNNNNNNNNNNNNNNNNNNNNNNNNNNNNNNNNNNNNNNNNNNNNNNNNNNNNNNNNNNNNNNAGAGAAGGGCAAUCUCUGCACGAAGCAAGGCGCCCGCAUUUGGAUGCAAGUUGGAAAACGGAAAGAGUGUCUCACCAAAAAUAACAUCAUGAGAAAUAUAGAUGCGUCUGGUAGAGAUCUCAAGGCAUUUAUAACCUUUAUGAAGAUUACUAUAGCCAAGAAAAACACACUGUGUGGAUCUAAACUCAAGUUUAUGAUGAUUGUAGGGACGCAAAUUUGGGUAACAAGCACACCCAAAUAUCUUUAGAUAGUUGUAAUCAGGUUUUUGACGAUAGAGACGCUCUAAUGGGGUAGUGUUUCCAAUAACUUUGCUAGGGAGCCUAUUGAUAAGAUAGGUGGCACUGAUGAAGGCUUCAUCCCAGUACUUGAGAGGCAUAGAAGCAUGAGCUAAAAGAGAAAGACCAACUUCAACAAUGUGGCGAUGUUUACGCUCAGCAGAGCCAUUCUAUUGAUGAGCAUGAGGGCAAGAUACAUGAUGGGCAAUCCCAAUGCUACGGAAAAAAGAGUGGAGUUUCUCGUACUCCCCUCCCAGUCACUUUGGACAGCGAGGAUUUUUCUAUCAUAUUGGCGCUCAACAAGUUUCUGAAAUUCUUGGAAAAUAGAGAAAACCUCAAAUUUGUAUCGAAGCAAAUAAAUCCAAGUGAACUUGCUAUAAUCAUCGAUAAAACUGACAUAAUGUUUUUUCGACCAAAGGAAUCUCGGGCAUGGCCCCAUACAUCAUUGAAAAUAAGUUCUAACGGAGCAUGAGACACACUAGUUGACUUGGAAUAAGAAAGCUGAUGGCUUUUGGCACAUUGACAAGCUUCACAAACAGACUCACAAACUGGACUAGGAGACAAAGAAAGUUUAUCUUUAUUGACUAUUUGUUUGACAAUGAUCGAAGAUGGAUGCCCUAAUCGUUGAUGCCACCGUGCCAAGGAGGGCUUGAUGACGGAGUAGACGUGACGACGCUUGCGACCUAGUGCUCCGGAUGGAAUGGGGUAGAGCCCUGCAAUGCAUCUACCGUGAUGAAGUAGUUCCCUCGUUGCCCGAUCAUUGAUGAAAAAAUAACGAGGGUGAGUUUCAAAGAAGACAUUAUUAUCGGUGGCGAGUCGAGACAUGGAUGCAAGGUUUUUGUCAGCUUGAGGGACAUGAAGCACAUCUCGAAGAACAAGAUUAUGUUUAAGUGUAGGGGAAUUAAUAGAACUUUGAUCGAUAUGACAAAUGUCCAUACCUCCACCACUGGCGGUGUGAAUCUGAUGGGCGCCAUGAUAGCGCUCAUGGAGAGCAAGUUGCUCGAGCUCGUUUGUCACAUGAUCCGUAGCGCCGGAGUCCACGUACCAGACGCCGUCUCCACCCUGCUCACAUAUGGCAGCAGCAACAUGGCGAUCCGAGGGGACAAAGUCCUCAUCGUAGCGAUGCCAGCAGUCAAUCACCUCGUGGCCAGACUUCUUGCAGAGCUGGCAUCGAGGGCGCGGACGGGAAGGAGGGCGGCGGCCGUUGUUGUUGUUGAAGCCGCCGCUGGUGUUGUAGCCGCCCCCUCCAUGGGAGCCAGAGCCCCCACCAGAUCGUGCGCCAUCGCCAGGAGAGGCGCCGUGUCCGCGCCCACCGCCGCGCUGCCCCUGGUGACCGCGCCCACGGCCGCGGCCAUGAGAGGCGGAGUUGACGGAGGACUGCCGAAGGUCGCCGCCAUGAAGGAGGGUGAGGCGGGCAUCAAAACUGAGCAGCUGGCUGUAGAGUUCUUGGAUGGUGAUGGGUUCCACCCUGGCGGCAAGUGCAGAAACCACCGGGUUGUACUCCAUGUCCAAGCCGGCAAGGAUUUUGGAGACAAUCUCUGGAUCAGAGAGGGCCGCAGCCGUGCUUGCGACCUCAUCAGUGAGACUUUUGAUCUUACCAAGAUAAUCAGCCAUGGACAUGUGACCUUUCUUGAGGUUGGUGAGCUCGAUGCAAGUGUUUAUCUCUUGGGCUUGACUUUGUGCAGCAAACAUGGCAUGGAUGGUGCGCCACACCUCGGCCGGCGUCUGGAGCGUGGCGACCUGAGCAAGAAUCUCACGGGAAAGUGAACCCAUUAAGUAUCCUUGGAGUUGUUGCUGCUAUGCAUACCAGAGGGAUCUCGCAAAGUUGACGACUUGUUUGUCUUUGCCUUUCUUGGUGAUGGUGAGGGUGGCCGGUGGUGGCGGGCUCGUCGCGUCGAGGUGGUGCUCCAUCUGGGCGCCUCUGAUCUGCGGGAGCACAAUGGCCUUCCAGAGCAAGAAGUUGCCCCGCGUAAGCUUCUCCUAUGGUGGCGAUCCGAGGGAGGUGGUGUUGUGGGUGGAGGUGGAAGAUGAUGCAAAGGUGGAGGAUGGAGUGGUGUCGAGCGCACCCAUGGUGCUUGGAGUCAUGGCUGCGGUGGUGGUGGACAUAGUCUCGGUCGCGAAGGUAGCUAGAUGCAAUCUCUCUCGAUUGGAUGAGGAAGAGGCUCUGUUUCCAUGUAAAAGUAUUUGGGAAGCGUAGAACCCUUUAUCUCGGGCCGCAUGUAUAUAUUAAGCAAAGCCUUGACAUACAAGUUACAGGAGGAGAUCGAUGAAACGAUCAGGAGAAGAAAGGAUAGAACGAAAUACAAAAUUUAAACAAACUUAUCCCUAUACAACUCCUACUAUACGUCUCUACCUAAUAAUAAAGAGAAUUGGGUUUCUGUCGUCCGUAAAAAAAAAUACCCCCGAAGUUGCUAGAAAUUACCCACUAUGCCACCCUUAAGUAAAGAAAACGAUUUGAUUUUUUUUUCCAAAAGUCAUCUCAUCUUGGUGUUCUUUAAAGGUCCGACUCACUUAUUAAACACAAAUGCACGAGUGCUCUAGUGGUUGACUCAUUGCUUUUCCUCCCUGGAGACCAGGGUUCGAUUCCCACCUUUGACACUUUUUUCCUUCCUUUUCUCACAAACGUUCACUGUAUUAAUGGCCCGGCCCAUGUGCGUGGCUUCACAUAUAUUUUUUUAAUUUCAUUUUUCUCUUUUUUCUUUUCUCAUUUUAUUUCCGUUUCAGAAAAUAAAAUGUUUGUGAAUUCAAAAAUGGAAAAUUCAGGAUAUUCCAUAUGUUUCUCAUUCGGAAUAUUCCAAAUUUAAAAGUUACGAGUUUCAAAAAAUUGUUAAAGAAAUCAUAAAAUGUUUGUGCAUUCAAAAAUGGAAAAUCAUCAAAUUUUCUCGGAUUCGAAAAGUGUCCGUGAUUUUACAUACUGUUCACAAAUUAUAAAAAUCAUGAUUUUAAAAAGUGGUCAGGAAAUAGUAUCAUGUUCAUGAUUUUUAAAAAAUAACCAUGUAUUCGAAACACAUUCGUGUAUCUGAAGAAAAAUCCAUGAAUUUUUAGAGCUUGUUAACAAAAGUUCAAAAAAAUUACAAAUUCACAAAAGUUCUAAAAAAUCACAAAUUUUAAAAUUAGUUCUCCAAUAUUUUUAAAAAUCAUCGAUUAAAAAAUGUCGAGUCAAAAAAUGUUGAAGUAUUCGAAAACUAUUCAUGCAUUUCAAAAAAUGCUCAUAAACAAAACGAACGUUAAAUCCAAAAUUUCAAAAAAUAACUUUUUUGAUUCGCUAAACUGUUCGCCGAUUCAAAAGUCUUUUAUGUAUAGGAUUUGAUUAGUUUUUGAAAACUCUUUAUAUGUCUAAGCAUCUCUACUAUUAAAGAAGGAUCAAACGUCGUGAUGGUCCAACCUCGUUCGACCCUCACCUCCCUUCUUACGACAACUAUCGUGCUACCAACCUCCACCCCACCUGGUCAGCUCCACGCGAAGGAAACAAUGCAAUCCGCACGACACACGACGGUUUGACCUGGCUCCCAUGCUCCCCGACGAUAGAAGAAGGAAAAAACAUCCACGAGCGCACACGUCUCACGCCCCAUCUCCCACAAACCCCCCUCUGGGCCAGUUCUUUUGGGCAAUUCUCCGAGAAUUGACCCCCUCUCCAGCUUCUCCCAGAAUUGCCACUCUAUAUUUUCUUACAAUUCCUAGCUAACUAGAUCUUAACUAGCUAGGAAUUGUAAAAAAAGAUGAAGUGGCAAUUCUGGGAGAAGCUGGGGAGGGGGUCAAUUCUCGAAGAAUUGCCCAAAAAACUGGCCAUCUCUCUCCCGAGAAACUUGCCGCCGCCGUCCAACCUGAAUCAGCCGCUCUUCCUCGUGCUCCUGGCCGCUGACGCCCUCAAGCCGUGGCGCAAGGUGGUGCUGCCUCCGACUCUCGCACCUACCUCCUGACCGGUGCUUGCUGGAAAUCACGUCUUCCAAGCCCAAGAUGAAGGCCAGUCCCGAAUCCCUCUUCGGCUCCUCAUCGCCAUCCGGCAGCGAAGGGUCUCUCUCUCCCAUCGCAGUCAGUCGCGGCUUCCUCUAGCCCUCCUCACUGGUGACGCCAAGACCGGAUCCACGCCGUGGGAGGUGUCCACCGUCGGCAACCUGAGGAGCCUCGCCACCUCGAGCCUCAACUCGCUCAAGCAUAGCCUCGAUGCGCUCCAUGGCCACUCCGCCCGUGACCUCGAGGCCUCCCACUUCCGAAUCUCCAAGCGCAUCAAGGUGACCUCUCUGAUCCCAUUCCUUUGGCAAUCCUUAGCACAUCGAUCGAUCUUGAGAUGUGCCUAGAUGUGAUGUGAUGGAUCGCCUUCGGUGUCUAUUGGUGUUGUUCACCUAAGAUGCAGAUGCAGAGCUCCCUGGAGCUGGUGGAGAAGGAGCAUAGGAAGAUGUUCGAGAAGAUCACCGAGCGUACUGAGGAGAUGAAAGUACACUUAUUCGAUUCCAUGUUUGAUCCAGUGUUGGUCGUGAGUGCUACAGUUUAUUUGAAAACAAUUCCUGUCUGUGAAAUUACAAGAAGUUGAUGACAGAGGUGCAGAGCUCCCCGCAGUUGGCGGAGGAGCAUAGGAAGAUGUUCGAGAAGAUCCCCGAGCAUGCCGAGGAGAUGAAGGUACACUCAUUCGAUUCCAUGGUUGAUCCAGUGUUGGUCGUGAGUGCUACAGUUUAUCUGAAAACAAUUCAUGUCUGUGAAAUUACAAGAAGUUGAUGACAGAGGUGCAGAGCUCCCUGCAGCUGGCGGAGAAGGAGCAUAGGAAGAUGUUCGAGAAGAUCGCCGAGCAUGCUGAGGAGAUGAAGGUACACUCAUUCGAUUCCACGGUUGAUCAAGUGUUGGUUGUGAGUGCUACAGUUUAUCUGGAAAUAAUUCCUGUCUGUGAAAUUACAAGAAGUUGAUGACAGAGGUGUAGUUGUCUUCAUCUCGAGGUACUGCAGCGAGCAAACACAGACAUCUUCGAACUUUAGUUCAAUUAUUUACUAACUUGGUUGGCACCGAUCAGUUUGCAAGGUGACCUUACCUGAGAUGGCAAAGUCCGUAGCCAGAGUUAUUGAUGGCUUGCGCAGUCGCUACAACAUCCCACCUACGCGAGUUUAGCAUAGCUCUCUUAGUUGGUAAUCACUUCUCCUGUCAUCAACUUGACAUAUGAGUUGCUCAUGUUCAGUGAAUUUUCAUGAACGUAUGAGUGUUUGUCCAUAAAAAUUGGCAGGUGUAGUAUGUAUCUACCAGGGAUAGUAAUUAUUCUUGGUUACAGGAUACCAAAGUGUUGUGGUUCAUUGGGUCCAUCUCCUCCUUCGCCAUCUACUACGGCACCUGUGUGGUCUCCGAGUCAAUGCUCUCCGCCCAUUCGUGCCAUCUUCGUCGGUUGCUCCUGUCCUGCACAAGGUCAUGCACAACAUGUGCCUUGCCGGAUGCCUUCGAUGCCCACUCUUGAUCAGGUUUGUCAUGCAGCACCUGAUCGAUGCACCAAACUACAAAAGGGCUCAGUGGUGGACUGAUGGGGAGGAUGCAUCGAUGCGGAUUGCGGAAGGUCAUUACAAAGGAAUUCUAGGGGAAUCGUACCAAGGAUCCUGCACAAUGCGAGCCUUGCUAUUGUAUGCCUUCGAGACAUCGAGGCUACAGUAAAGAUGGAGUUAUUUCUUUCAGGAAGGUAACCUCUUGUUUUGGGUACUGCAGUUUUCUUGAAGCUACCUAGCUAGGUAUAAUGAAGAUGAUGGGUUCGCUUCAGCAUAAUUUCCGUUUCAGUUAUUGAGUUCUUUGAAGGCUACAACAAUUAUAAUAUGAACCAGUUGUGAAUCUCUCAUUUGUUUUGAUUAGUUCUAAGUUGUUCUGUGGCAUACAAUUUCAGACUGGGUGGUCUUGAAGUAAAGUUACACACAUUACUUCUAUUAGGUGUAUGCAUACUUGUGCGUGUGAUUACAAUGGAAGUGCACAUACAUGAAUUUUUUAGUGGUCCCCACUAACUGAAAGCAUAUUGUUGGAGUAAAAGCUCUCCACUACAGUUCCAUCCAUAAGAAAAUAACAAACAUGCAAAUAUUCAAGAACUUAUGGUGUCAUUCCUUGCUACUGAUCAGAAAAAAAUCUCACAAUUAUAGAGUAUUUUCAAGCAUACCAAAUUAUAUGGUUGUGUACAUUGAGACCACAUAAACCAUAUAUGAUGGAUUUUUUGCCAUAGUGUUAAGAAAUAGCAUCACAGUUAGAAACUAUUUUGAAGCAUACCAAAUUAUAUAAGUUUGCCGGCAUCUAUUAGGUGUAUGUUGUCCUUUCAGCGAUUUAGGCAUACUGUAGACACACAUAGUUCGUAGGAAAAGGAACAUGCUAUUGCUCAUCACUGUAAGUAUUGUACGCAAGAUAAAUUUGCAUCAUGUAGGUAGUGAAUACUCUAAUCAUGAUCAAGUUCCCUAGGCACUUCUUGUACAAGCACCAUCUGCUAUGAAAUCUUUAGAGUUUUUUAUGACACAAUUUAAGCACCAUGUGAGCGAAUGAGGAAUGCUAGCGCUAGCAGCUACUGCGAGCCGCAGUGGACAGCGGUAGCAGCGGUGGUCAGCCGGACAACACAAUGUCGGCGGCAGGCGGAUAGUGGCAAGCAGCCCUACCGGUAGCUGCUGCUGUUAGAAGAAUUGACGACUAGAGCAUGUUGUCUUAAUUUGUUCUCUGUUCCUAUAGGAGGAUUCAAUUCCAUUAACUGUUCAAACAGAAAUGAUUCCAUUAGGGAGCUGUCUACUUUGUGAUCUACUGUCAUUCUUCUCUGUCCAGACUAACAAUUGGAUGUAGUUCUUUACGUAUUUAUUAGUGCAAUUUUCUUGUCAUUGUUUUAAAGAUCGCAUAUGUAUAUGUGUGACUAGAGGUUAUGACUUAUAAGUGUUUCCGUUGAUUCGGGAAAUGCAAGUAAGGUGUACGUGUUAGUUUCCAGUGUUCAUUGUAAUUUCCUUGUCUUGGACGUAAUUUAUCUCAAUUUAGAUAUGAGAUAUUGGACUUUGAUUCUGCUUUGAAUUUAUUAACGCUCUAGAGUCCACCCUACCUAAAAAAAUCGCCCUCAGCCACUGAUGUACAUCACAACUCUACCUUGGAAGUAUAUAUAAGUAUGGUGUACAGUGCACACAAACGAGGACUACGGCCUAUGGAAUAUGUGUUCCUGGACCUGCUGCCAUGUCAAGUCAUGAGAGAUUUGAUCAAAACAUGUUUCAGGUAUAUUCACCAUGAAUUUUUUAUUAUUAAUUUGAUGAGAUCGAUUACUUCUGCUACCAUUUGAUUCUGUAGGAAGGAUACAUACAACGAUUUUGCUGAGGCAAUGGAUCUGGAAGAGAUGGGGGUACUUGUUCAUGUGUCAUGCUCGUUUAAGAGCCUCAUUGCUUAUUCCCAUAAAAUCUUGUUCAGGAGCCCAGCAGCAGAUAGAAAAGAUGACAUGGACCACGAUAAAGAUUUAAGAAUCUUUCAGUUCAAAUGUCUCUCCUGCAACCAUUGUUUCUAGAGUAGAUAGCUCUGAUGACUUAAGGGUGUCACGGGCUAAUGGUGCUGAGCCCCCAAAAUGUAUUGUAGUCAAUGGAUAUUUCUGAUAAAAAUAUUAGUUAUCGAGUGAUGAUAGUGUUUGUCUAUCGCAAACAUUUAAACAGUUUAAAUUGUGAUUUGUAUUGUUUGAGAGAUUGCUAAGAAGCUCAUUAUAUAAUCUCUCUAUAUGGUAAUUGCAAGGAUUGUCAAAUUUGUACAGUUUAAACAUCAUCAGGCUAAACAUGUUUAAGUUUGAGCAAGUUAAUAGAAAAUAAUAUCACCAUCUACGAUGCCAAAUAAAAUUGCACUAUAAGAAGUUUGACUUAGGAAAACCUAAUAUAACAUGUGGGGCAAGGAAAUAUACUUGAAAGACAUGAGGUGAUUGCCUCUAUGGGGAAAGUAGAUAUUUGUCCGAGUGAUGCAUGCUACUCAUGCUCAUCAAGUACAAUGAUCUUUACCGAAAAAUGUUUUUUUUUACCAAAAAAGAGUACAAUGAUCUUUUGAUCAAUGUAUGUAUCUUUAUAUAAGUCUGUUGUUCCGUGGCAACGCACGGGCAGUCGACUAGUUGUUAGUAGUUUGUGGUUGAUGAGAUAGAAAAAUUUAAGUUUUAAACAUUCCCUUGCACAACAUAAUGACAAGUGUGGCGUGAAGUGGCAAGCUCAUAGCCUUGGGAUUUACCACGUCAAAUGCAUUAUGAUCACGUGGACAUCGCGACCAUCAUUAGCAAGGGUGAGAGAAAAGAUAAGUGGCAACAUGGUGAGCCUCCGUGUUAAAAUAGAGGAAGCUCAUAUGUCGUGGUAUUAAGUCCAACUUAUUAGACUAACACAUAAAUUUUUUUUCUAAAUUUUUUUCUCCAGUUGCAACGCACAGACAUGUUUGCUAGUAUAUUCCAACAUGGGGAGCCUGACUCCGAGGACUCCGAGGAUGAGGAUGCACAAGGGCGAGGCCGAGGCCGAGGCCGAGGGCGACGUGGGCGUGGGCGUGGGCGUGGGCGUGCCCGUGGCCGUGGCCGAGGACGAUAAUGGGCUCGUGCCAUCACUAUGUUGAAGCUUCUAGACAAGGUCACUGAGGAUUGCCGUGUGUGCCCUGCGCUUGAGACUGCCGAUCACCUCGUCUUCAAGUGCCCGUUUGCCCUAGGUCUCUGGAGUCACCUGCAACUCCCCAUCGCCGGCGCCUCCGUCCGCGAGCUUCAUCUCCUCGAUCGACGCUUCCGCGGCUGUUGGCGAGGCACCGCCGACGGCCUUUAUCCUCCUCUGCUGCUGGUAAUUUUGGAAGCGGAGGAACACCGUCGUCUUCAGACUUCAUGGAAUCGACGCCCUCUCUGAAUCUCACACUCAAAGAUGCUCUGCUCUGGCGCGGGAGGUCAAAAAACGGCCACCAUGCGCACAUCGAUGUUUGGUUGCGCGCUGGCUCAAGAGCGGCCUCCCUGAUUCUCUGGUCUCGUGUGGGCAGUUUGUAGCGAUUUCUAGGUGUAUAUGCGUUGUUCCUGUAGCCUGACAAAACCAUAGUUGCCAUGUUUCCGGUACGGUGGGAACGAGGAACGGGAACGAGGGACGAGAGUCGGUGGCUGAAAAAAAUAGGGUACAACGAGGGUAUACAUCUCUCGAACGAUUUUUUUAUAGCGGGGACGCGAUCCAAUCCGUUUGGGUACGAUGAAUCCGGUACGGUACCAUGAGUCGAGGAACGCAGUUCCUAAAGAACGACGACUCCCUGAUGGUCAGCAUUCCUUGCUGUUAACGGAUCCCUUGCAAUUAAUGGACUGGAGGAAGAACGAGGAGUCCUUGAGAAAAGAAAUGACGGCGUGAGUAAAUUAUGCCUCGCGUUUUGGCUGUUGGAUCCUCGAACCUGAAUCGAGGAGCAGGCUGCGGGGACGCCGAAUCUUCAUCGAAUCGUACCGAAUCCGACCUCGUUCCCGAAUCCGAUUCCGGGUCGAUGAAUCGGGAUCGAGGGACGGCCUACCGUUCCCCGUUUCCGGCUACUAUGGACAAAACCCUCCUGCUGCUGUUCUAUAUGGGUUCUUGAAACAGGCGGCCUUGUUUCAUUCGUCAGUUUUGGGGGUCAGCAAAUCCCGUUCAUCUUUCUGAACGAUCUAUUUUGGCUGCUCUAAUGGAACACCAACGUUUUGUCAGCGGUUUCUGUAAAAGUAGGCACUGCUGCUUGCCUGGAUGGAAUUAAGUGUUAAUUCGUCAAGCUGAUUAAUCCGGUUUAGCAAUUGGAAUUUGGUUACCGCAGCUCUAGUAUAAAUAUAUCUGAGUUGGGCAUGGUAUUAUUAUUCUACCCUCAUUUCAGUUUCAUCAUUAUGUGCGAUUACAACAGCGGGUGUCCUGUCUAUGUUAUCUGAAUUCCCGAUUUUAUCAUGAAAAUGCUGCAAUCCGCGAAACAAAUUAGCAAGCCACUGCAGUUAGACAACUCCUUUUGGAAAUGAGCUUAUUUUCCUCCAAUUCAUAAUGUUCAUGCUCACCAGAAAUUCUGUUUUGUUGUUAUGCACGUGUCAUCUUGUAGUUAGUUUCUGAGAAAGCAAUCGGUUAAUUAUGGAACGGCACAGUAGAAAACUCACUGAACCUUUUGGCCCCAACAGCUAAUGAACAACUUGGAACAUGUUAGUCGACACACUCAGUAUUCAGCGAAUUUUCUGUGCCACAUGCAGAGGGGCAGGUUCGCUGUCCGGUAAUCUCCGAUGGCCAUGUUGGGCUUGGUGGAUGCAAGGUACUCCCUCUGAGCGACAUAUAUUACAUUACAGAGGGAGUACUUUUCUUUCUCUUGGGAGACUCGCUCUCAAAGUCGGAGAUGUCUAAUCCCCGACGCAUUUGGUUCAUUGGCAUAUGCCAAGUGCGCCAAUUUUUUUUUGCUGGAAAUAUGCCAAGUGGCAAGUGCCUCUUCAUGGUGAGGACUCCUGCUUGGUGGUCCAAAGUGAAAUAGAAGUUGUUUGCUCGGGUAGAUGUGAUGACCAUGACAAUUUGUUGAACCCUCGAUGACAUUUCUUUCUUAGGAGGUGUAUGUGCGGUCAGUGACGGAGGCAGGAUUGCUUAUUUACUCUCGUGCUUCACUUAUAUUCUAUGAGUAAAUUGUUGAAUGAAUUGAAUAUCCUAAAGUUGAAAUUAUAUGUGCUUCAUAUGUUCAUAUCAUGCCUAGUGGUACCUUCACAUUGGGUUUAAAAAGUGAAAUCUUUUGAAGUUUGACAAUCACAAUAUUGGUCAUACAAGCAAUUCAUACAUGAUUACUAUAAGGAAGAGAAUUUUCACAUGCAAAUACACUAUCUUGAAAAUCUUUUGUGAUUGUGAGCCUCCACCAAAAUAUUAUAUGCCAAAAUUGUUGACGUUGGACAAGGAAGACAACGCAAUGGUUUAUGUUUGUUCAUAUUCACAUAGAAGUUAUAUUGUCAUAUAUCCUUCAACAUGUGGUGCUUGCCCCCCAUCCUUACUAGCCAAAAAUUCCGCACCAAGUAGAGAUACUACUUGUGCAUCCAAAACCCUUAAACCCAAAUUUUAUUUUCAAGAGUCCACCAUACCUACCUAAGGAUUGAGCAAGAUCCACUACUAAAAAAAUGGUUGUUAGUGGCGCACCUGUUUUUGCUAUUAAUGGUGCACUACAGGUGCGCCACUAUUAACACGCCACUAGUAACAAAUAGUAAUGGCGCACCUCUGGUGCGCCACUAGUACCCAGAUAAUAGUGGCGCACCACAUAAUGCACCAUUUCUAUGCCUCCCACGGGGCCAUAUUUACCUUGUGCUCUGGGUUACUAAUGGCGCACUUUUAAAUAAUGCGCCACUGGUGUGUUUAUUUCAGUGCGCCACUAAAGUGCAAUAUGGUGCGCCACUACUAUGAAUAUUAAGAUUUUUUUUCCUUUUCUGAUAUUUGCACAGGUUACAAAAUACAUUACAACACAGAAUAUGAACAACGCAACAUAUAAACAACAAAUUUAUCGAAUACAAUAAAAGAUUAGUCUCCGAAUACAAUUCAUCAUAUUAGUCUCCGAAUUCAAAAUACCGAACAAAGUUAGAACAUUACAAGUCGCGAGACCGCGAGUAGCGAGUUUGUCUUCACAUUACAAGUCGACAUCGAUCAUCUAAACUACCAUCACAUAAAAGAGAGCUGCGGUCACGAUGAGCAUCAUCGCGAUGAAACUGGUCUUCAUCCGGUUCCUCCAACGCUCCCUCCUCUCUCCUGCUAGAUAGCGCGCGUAUCUAGCUUCCGCCUCCGCUCUAGUGGUGUACCCUUUGUAACUGUUACCGCUAAAACGGUGAACCUGUCUCCGACACUCCUCCCAGUCAUCGUAGACUCCGGGAACCUUAUCCUUGUACACGACAUACGAUGGCAUCUCUAUGCACUAGACAAACAAAAUGUUAGUAGCAAUUCACAAACAAUACAUAAGCAAUAUAUAAGUAUGCAACAAAAGGAUCGGAAGAGAAAAGCAACACAUUAAUAGCACAAUUCAUGGUCCUACUAAUAAAUAGCAUUGAUUACAUAUAAGUUGAACGACUGUCCAAACUAAAGAGACAUCCAAGUUCAUUAAAGUUUACUUACAACAUGAGCUAAUCGAUAUUUCAGAACUACAUAGCAUCAUUACUUUCGACUCGACUCAGGGACCGGAGCGUGGAUGAAGCCGCCGUCUUUCGUGAUGGUCAUGAAAUCACGAUCGUUGUCAGCCUGCAUUUGUAGCGUUGUUUCUUUUUCACUGUUGGACGGUUGAUAUCUGAGGUAGAACUGCCCCGAGGUACGAAGGAUAUCUUGAUGGAUGAUUUCCGCAAACUCCAACUGGAUGCGAAAGAAUUCUUGUCUGAUGUCCGCGUCCUGGAUUGCCAACAAGCGUGCGGCCCAAUCUUUGAGAUUAGUUGGUAUCAGAAGAUGAUUAUGGUCCCGUACGAUCGCCCGCAUGUGAUGGAGGACGUAGUAGGCAUCCUUCUGACCGCCAGGCGGCUACUUGGCGCAGGGGAACGUCGUUACGUGGGUGAACACGUGCUUGCCGUACCUACAAAUUGGCCUCCUGAAGGUGCCUCUAGAUUUGGCAUAGCCGGGGAGAGCAUCAUCAAGAACUUUCUUGAUAUUUGUGUAGUCUUUCUUUGACUGACGGUCCGAGUCGAAAUACAUGUCCAUGGAAUAUUUUGGGCUUAAGAGGAUGAGUGUGCAAUGUGUGUCACUGCACAAAACACGGAAUGUUAGAAAAGAAAGAUCAAAAUCUAAGAAAUCAUAUGUUACGGGGUGGUGAGGGGAUGACUUACUCGGGAAAGUAAGGCAUGAGGAAGUUAUCCUUAUCUGGGUUCGCCAGAAUGACGCCUUCGAGGUAUGAACUCGUGACUUGCCGGUCCCCAGCGCUGCCCAAGAUCUUGGCACACAUGUAGAAGGGGUCGACUAUCACGAUGUCCGGGGUCUUGUCUCUAAUGACCCGCAUCUCCAUACUGAGCGAAAAUAGCCGAAUGAAGGUGUAGUGCAGCGGAUGAAGGUUAAACAUAGCGAAGAUGUCAUCAAACCGCAACCCCCGAUGGUGCUAUCGACAAAGCCCUUGCCCUCUGGCACCUUGGCCACGAAAACCGGGUAUGCCACAACAUUCUCGGAGAGACGCCACUUGUCCAAAGAAAGAACACUGUCUUGCAGACUCCGCAUAGCACCGGUUGCAGCAUUGAGCAGAUUAGUCGGUAGCAUCGGCCUACCCGCUAGAUGCACCCUCCUCGAGAUAUCCUUAGGUGAAGGUGGCCCGUCCUGAGCACGGAUCAUACUCGGUGCCGGCUGGCUCGCACCCUUGUUAUUUUUUCUUUUCCAUCCCUUCUGCUUCUUCUGUUGUAAUGGGAUCGAGUUCUGCUCAGAGACCGCCUUCUUGAGUGUGUUGGGGCUGAUAAUAUUUCGCACCUCAGCUAUCUAAGGCUCGCUGAAGGCGGCAGUUGGAGGCGUCUCCUAAGAACUGAACGCCAGACGACGCUUGUUGCAAUUGGGUUUCUCCGCGGUACCAGCUAGAUCGCGGUCGUCUUUUGCAGGGUUGGGUUCUUGAGAAGGAGGCCCCAAGAAUUCGUCAUCGUACCCAUGUUCGUUGAAGUACUUAUCAACGUUGGUAAAUGUACCAUCAUUGUCGUCCAGAUCCUGUGCCAUAUGCAUGUCCGGAUCAGCUGACGAAGGUAGCGCUGCGACGGUCUUGCCAUGGCUUAGCGCCGGCACGACUGGCGGUGUUGUCUGUGGGGUCUUGUCCCCCGUCCCCAAACGAAUCUGGCUCUUCGGCCAAAGCAGGGGCCAGCUUAAGCAGGCACUGAGGGUCAUCACAUCAUCUUCGUCGGCCCCAGGGGGUCGAAAUGGAGGUAACAAGUCAUCGCAGCCCCGCAGUACCCGAACCAGUUGAACCCUAUACACAGUGGGUGGGAUGAAGUCAUCGGCCGAGAGGCUUAGUUACCGUGAUGGCGUCGAGCUCGGCUAAUGUCAAGGCACCGCCACGGCAGGCGUGCAAGUGACGGAGGGGCCGCUUGCUGCCGAGGUGCCGACCAGCAUAUUCUUCCCACACCCUGGUGCAUUAAGCUCCAAUGCCCGCGCCGAUGCUGGAGACACCAAUGGCACCGCCGGUGCGUUGUACGAGUUGCUGCCCGUGAAGCUGGGAAUUGGGGGCGGACUUGUUGGCCGCCCGCAAUUCACGCCUGCAGCCCCUCAAUCAAGGUAGGCACAAUGGUGGUGAUCGUUGCUCCCAGUUGGUCUCGCACUUGCUCUUCGACUAUCUCCGGAAUCCGCGCCACUUGUGCCUUGAGUUCUUGAACCUCGCGCUCCUCGCUUUCCGAGCUGGUCUUUCUCUCGUUUCGCCCAGCGUUAUAGUAUUCUGACCAUUUUGUGGACAAGCCUUUGCCGGCCACACGACCAGCUGACGACGGCUUACUGAACUUAUCCUUGUGUUUCAUUACAUUCAAUGCCCUAUUUAAAGUGGUGUCCCAAGGGGAGCUCUGAGACGACCCCGUGCUACUGCUUUCAGUGUCCUGCGGAAGGAACGUGAACCAUUUAGAAAUUUGGCUUCAUUAAUUAGAAUGCAACCAUAUGGAGCUAAUUACGCGGGGGUGUAUUCCUUACCAGAACAAGCUCAAGCGCCUUGGUCUUCGGAUCUAUGGUAAGCUCCUUUGUUAGCGGGUCCACCUUGUACCGGGCCCUGACAUAGUUCCUGGUCUGCUUGUCGCGGUAUUUAUCGAAGAGGGGCGGUAGGCCUUGCUCGGCACGCUCCGCGUCCUCCUUGUCCCAUAUAGGUUCCGCCAUCUGUAACCGCCGGGACCGAGUUUGUGGACCCCUAAGUUCAAGUCCCGCAUAUCUUUCCCCCACUGACUUGAUUCCGCAGAUGCGUUGCUCUCGCACUUGAUCUUGAACUCCCGGUAGUCAGCUUCACUGAUCGAAGGAUUUCUCUCCUUGAUCUUCUCAUAACUAUCACCUCUUAGAAUCCUUCUCUUCACCGCGGCUCUCCAAGUAGCAAGGGCCGUGCUCAUCUUUGUGAGGGCGGCACUGUUCACUUUACUCCCUGAGAGGCGUGUGUUUGCGAAGUCACCGGGGAACUUGUAUCGUUCAUGCAGCUUCGUGAAGAGGAGGUUGCGCAAAUUCCCUCGGUCACGAUGCCUUAGGUUCUCGGUGUUGAUCGAGACGGUGCUCCGGAGAAUGCACCUGAGUUGUCCCGAGUACCCACUAACUAAUUCUUUGGUCUCCGUUGGAUGCCCACUGGAGGACACUUCAGUAAAUUCCUCCUUGACGGUGCCGAGCAUGUUCGGGCGCCGGUCCUUCCGUUGCCUCUUCGGUUGGCUGCCAUCUGUUCAUGCGCUGCCAUCAUCAGUGGUGGCAUCCUCAGCGGCACCAUCAGUGGUGUCAUCCCCAAUGCCACUAGGGGUUGUGUAGUCGGGAUCGGUGUCUUCCGCGGCGUCCUCAUAGCGGUGAGGUUCUUCCUCCAUCUCCUGGGACAACUCCCAAAAUUGCAUGCCCAAACCGCUGGCCUCAUCGUUGUUGGCCAUGUUCGCUCUAAAUAGGAAAAAAGUUUGGUCAAAAAGUUGGUUAUUGUCAAGGAACAAGUUCUCUAAGUUGACCAAAUAACCUAAUUCUCAAGGAAUGUCGCCAAAAAGUUGGUUAUUGUCAAGGAACAAUUGAGAUAUAUUUGUGAUAUUGCCUAGGUGUUUUGGGAUGGAACCUGUUAGUGUGUUGUUGCUAAGGUCCAAGUCCACGUUCUCAAGGUAACCUAGUUCUUGAGGGAUGUUUCCAGAAAGUUGGUUGCUGCAAAGAUACAAGGCUGUGAGUUUGGUCAAAUUGCCUAUGUUGUUUGGGAUGGAACCUGUUAGUGUGUUGUAGCAAACAAACAACUUCUCUAAGUUCUCAAGAUAACCUAGUUCUCGAGGGAUGUGUCCAGAAAGUUGGUUGCUCUCAAGAUCCAAGGUUGUGAGUUUGGUCAAAUUUCCUAGGCAAUUUGGGAUGGAACCUGUUAGUGUGUUGUAGCAAAGCCACAACGCCUCUAAGUUCUCAAGAUAACCUACUUGUCGAGGGAUGUGUCCAGAAAGUUGGUUUAUGUCAAGAUACAUGCUGAUUAAUUUUUGUUUCAGUUGAGAAUCGGGCACCUUCUAGGUCAAGAAAAUUGGGCAUGACCUUUGCAAAUUUUCUUGACCUAGGAGUGCCCCAUUCUCAACCGAAACGGAAAUUAAUCAACAUUUCAGGAGAAAGGGGUCAUUUCAGAAGAUCACAAGUAGCAGCAGCAUCACAAGUUGACAAAAUCACAAGUAGCAUCAGCAUCACAAGUAGUACAGCAGCAACAUCAUCACAAGUAGUACAGCAGCAGCAGUGAAUACAGUUAAAUUAAUGCAGCUCACAACAGUACACAAUAGCUCACAACUGCUCACAACAGUACUCCAGUUAAGUUAAAUUACUCUAGUUAAGUUAAGUUAAUUCAGUAAAUACAUUCACAGUAGUACACAGUAGCUGGAAAACCAAUGCAGCUCACAACUUCAUAGUAGUAGUAGUGACCACCAAAAUAAGUUUAGACUAGCAAUGAUGCAGCACAACACUUGACAGAGUAAAAAAGUUUGGAUGAUUUCUGCCAAUGCAUUUUGAUUUCACAGCUUGAUCACACGAUGGAAACUUGAACAGGAAAUAACCUAACGUUUAAGAGCUGGUUACUUGCUAUAGUGAAAACAAAGACUAUGUUGUGCCAUGACAUUCUCGCAACAAAGAAGAAGAGACCACCAUGUUAAAGAUAAUAGACAGAUAAGCAGCGACAUAGUCCUAAGAUCAUGCAUCAACACAACAUUCCACAAUAGCUAGAAGUUAACAGCUUUCAUAGUACCAGUAGAGUACUAGUGACCACCACAAUAAGUUCAGGCAAGCACUGGUGGAACACCGCACUUAACAGACUAGCAAAGUUCAGAUAAUUUCUACCAAUGCAUUUCACAGCCUAUAGGUAGAGGAACCACUCAACCACACAACUUGUAGAAUAACCGCAUAGCGACAACAUCAAUAGCAUCGUUAGAUAACCUAGGAGCAGCUUGCAUUGCGAUAACGGGCUAACAAUAUAAGAACCUCUCAACGGUCCUCAGGGAAGAGCCAUGCUGCCAGAUACCACAUGGUAUUUUUCUGCAAAUAGGACACCACACCCACCAGCACAUGGGAUAGUACCAUUAGCAGUGCUGCUGUAAGUAUAUAUAUAACAGCAGUAACCGGUAACAACAAGUAUAAUUAGCUAUUACCCAAAGGUCAGCCAGACCAAUGGAAAUAGACAAAAUUAAGUAACCCAACUCCAGGAACUAGAGUAGCAUAUUCAGUAAAUCAACUUGUAGUGGGAAGUACAACAAGUUAAAUCAAGUAGUCAAAGACAAUAGGAUUAGUGUACUGAACCAGGGAGCUUCAAAACUAAGAAUUCUUCAGUUAGCACAAACAGCAGAGAGCAGAGGCGGAUAGGAGGCGGAGCUCACCGGGGAGGCGUAGCAGCAAGUAGAGGUGGAGCGGAGACCGGAGUUGAGGUGGCCGGAGUUCAGGAAGAUGGCGGCGACCCGAGGAAGAAGACGAGGUGGAUCCGGUGUUGUACGGCUCCUCGACAAUGGCGGAUACGGUGCAGUCCCCCUCCUGGAUCAGCUGCGACGCGAAUAAGGACCUGAGGAACAACAAGACCAGACACUGUUACUGCUCUGCUCUGCUCUUCUCUGCUCUAUGUAGCAAAUCGACAGUAGCCAAGAACAGAUCUUCCCAGCAGAGAGGUCCCGAUGCGCAGCGCCGACGAGAUGGCGGACCCGGCCUUGCUCUGCAGCCAUGGCAGGAAAGCACCGUCCUCCUUCACCUGCGGGGCAGAAAAUUUGAUUCCAUCGGCAUUCAGCAAAGGGGCGGGAGGGGGGGGGGCGAGGGGACGGGGGGAUUUCUUCCUCUCUUUCUUUGCUUGCAGUGAACCCUAGCCCAGAUAGCUCACCUUGGGGAUGGCUGCGGUGGCGGCGGUAGUCUGGCGGCAGGUGGGAGGAGACGGGGAGACGGCGGCGAGGCUUUCUAGGCUCUAGGGAGAGGAGAGGGUGAACAGGGCGAGGGGAAGCGCGAGGGGGCAAGUUGGGAGGGGGGCCCGAGGAGGUAGGGCGGCGGAAGUGGAGCGGGCGUGGGCGGACGGUGGCGUGCUCCCGCGGGGGUCGUCGGGUUAGGUGUGGGGCGAGGUGGAUCUCGCGAGGGAGGGAGAGAGGCCAGAGGGAGAGGGGAGCAAGUGGAGUGGGGGGAGGGUUAGCAAUGGCGCACCUUUUAGCGGUGCGCCAUAAACAUACGUAUACCAAUGGCGCACCUUCUAGGGGUGCGCCAUAAGCACCGUGAUAGCAAUGGUGCACCUUCCCCUGGUGCGCCAUUACUAACUUUUUUUUUGGAUUUUUAGUUGCAUGUAAUAAUUUUUUAGAAAAUGACCAUAAUUUUUAAAAUGUUACAAUAUAAGUAGUUAUUACUAAUUUUCAAAUACUCGCGUUGCAAAACAUUUGUGAAUUGGUAAAACAUUUAUGAAUAUGAAAAAAUAUCAUCAAAUUUGGAAAAUUAUUCAUGAAUUCAAAAAGUGCCCAUGAAAUUUAAAAAUAUUCAUGAGUUCAAAGAAUAUUAACAAAUUCAAUACUUUUUGUGAGUUAGAAAAAUGAUUGUAUUUUAAAAAAAUGUUUGCAAAUUUAAGCAGGAAAAGGAACACUGGAAAAUAAAAUACCAGAAUAAACAUAAAUAAAAAUUUGUAUAUCAAUGGCGCACCUCCUAGGGGUGCGCCAUAAAUACCUUGAUAGCAAUGGUGCACCUUCUCCUGGUGCGCCAUUACUAACUUUUUUUUUAUUUUACCAGAAUAAACAUAAAUAAAAACAAUUAAAAUACCAGAAGAAAACAUUAAUCCCCACUAUUUUGAACAAAAGAGGUUACUGGAUAGAGGACUAGAACAGAAGAAAUGCCAUUUCCAUAUGUUGAAAUACAAUCGAGAAAUGAAGAGUACAAUUUAAACCAUUGUGCAAAGAUUUAGAAUUAGAUUGAUGACAUGGUUGAAAUCUUAGCUAUCUUUUCACACACAAUUGAGCUUGCCACUGACACACACACACGCGGCCGACACAUCGUGAUUCGAUCUUAGCUAUCUUUUCACAAUCUUCUUGCCCUUCUUUUUCGCAAAUGGAGUUCUUCUCUUGAACGGACGUCCUUUAGGUAGGGUGGUCCUGCUUCUUCUUGUGGUGCAUGGUACUUCAUCGUCUUCGUCAUGUUCCAUCUUCGGGUCGCCGUACUUAUCGAAGUCUUGCUCAUUGGCGACUCCAUCCAUUCCGAUGAUCUUCCUUUUGCCUCUCCUCACGACAACACGACUGGUCUUUGACGGGUUGGUAAUGAAGAAGCAUUGGUCCACUUGGGAAGCCAGUACCCAUGGCUCAUUUUUCGCGGUGACGUUUGCGCCGGCGGUCUUGGAUUUGGCUUCGGGUAUAACCAUGGUGGUGAAAUACCGGUCUUCUUUUAGGACGCUCUUGGCCCAUCUGACAUGGAACAUCGGGACCUUCUCUCCAGCAUAGCUCAGCUCCCAGAUCUCUUCGAUCCUUCCGUAGUAUCUGUCCUUGUUGUUACCGGUGUAGGAUUCCAUCGUUACCCCAGAGUUCUGAUAAUCAUCGCUCUUCAUGUCCUUUUCCUCGGUGUAGAAUGUGUAACCGUUGAUAUCGUAUGCCUCAUAGGUCAUCAGGUUGUGCUUGGCGCCCUGUGACAAGGCGAAUAUGAGUUUUUCUUCCGCGGAAGAAUCCUCAUGUAAAGGGUACGAUAGAAGCUUCUCCUUGAACCAACGUGUGAAACAUGAGUUGUGCUCUUUGAUUAUAUCUCCAUCCUUCCUCUGUUGGCCUCGGUCAUUGUACGUCUUCUCAAUAAAGGUUUUGUGCUCUACCACCCAAGGAUCGACCACGUCUAUGAGUUGUAGCACGAGGUGCCUGUUGACGGGCAGACCAACGGGGUUCUGGAUGCCUAGAUGAUUCGUGCAGUAGGAGAUGCACUCUUCGGUCAGAAAGCCCUUGGCUAUGCUUCCCUCUGGACGUGACAUGUUGCGAACGUAUCCUUUGAUGACCCCAUUCAUCCUUUCGAACGACAUCAUGCUGUGCAGGAAUGUCGUCUCGAGUUGGAUGAUAUCCUCCACGAUAUGGACCAGCAAAUGCACCAUAACGUCGAAGAAUGCGGGCGGGAAGUACAUAUCAAGCUCACAUAGUAUCACCACGAUCUCUUCCUGUAGCAUUCCGAGUUGCCUCACGCCAACCAACUUUUGAGAGAUGACGUCAAAAAAGUUGCAUAGGCCAAAUAGCAUUUCACGGAUGUGCGCGUCCAUGAUCCCACGGAUUGCAACUGGAAGUAUCUGCGUCAUCAGCACGUGACAGCCGUGAGACUUCAUCCUGCUGAACUUCUGCUUCGCUGAGUCUAGGUAUCUACUUAUCUUCCCCGCGUAACUGUAAGGAAGUUUUACUCCUACGAGGCAGGUGAAAAACUGCUCGAUCUCCUCCUGACUUAGAGUGAAGCACGCAUGAGGGCAGUCAUUUCCGAUCUUCUUGGCCUUUUUGCCUUUGCGACGACUUUCCGUGUCCUUCACCUCAUCAUCAUCAUCAUCAUCAUCAUCAUUAGCGUGAAGCUCCUCCCUAAUGCCCAUUGAUUUCAAGUCUGCCCUUGCUUUCGGCCCAUCUUUGGUCCUCUCUGGCAUGUUGAGCAGGGUACCAAGCAGACUCUCACACACGUUCUUCGUGAUAUGCAUGACAUCAAGGCUGUGAGGACACGGAGGAUCUUCCAGUACGGCAAGUCCCAGAAAACAGACCUCGUUUUCCAUACGUUCAGCAGCGGCUCUGGCGCCUUUCGUUUCUUUCCCAGCUCUGGCGCCUUUCGCUUCUUUCCGGGUGGUGGGCACUCUUUCCAAUUUUUCAACAACUCGUCUAUUUCCUCGCCGCUCCUCGUACACGGGCGUCUUCGGGGUUCGGUUUCACCAUCGAACAGAUCCUUGCAUUUUCUCCAUGAGUCAUCGUCGCGAAGCCACCUUUGAUGUCCCAUGAACACGGUUUUCGAAGACCUGGGAUCUCUAUCUAGCUGGUGAUAUGUUGUGUCAUCCAUGCACCUGACGCAUCCAGAAAAUCCAUGGACCACCUGCCCCGCGACUUAUCCGUAACCGAGAUAGUCGUGCACCGUCGUGAGCAGUGCGGCUCUCAUAGGGAAAUAUUCUUUCUCUGUGGCGUCCCACGUAUUGGCUGGCGUUUUCCACAGCGUGUCUAGCUCCUCUUUCAGCAGCCCCAGAUACAGAUUGAUGUCAUUCCCUGGUUGUUUCGGCCCUUCAAUUAGCAUACUCAUGUGAAUGUACUUCCUCUUCAUGCACAACCAGGGGGGAAGGUUGUACAUCCACACAAACAUAGGCCAGGUGCUAUGUGUGCUUCUCUGGCUGCCAAACGGAUUGACUCCAUCGGUGCUCGCGCCCAGCAUGAUGUUCCUUGGAUCGUCCCCAAAUUCUGGGUGUUCGAAGUUCAACGCUUGCCACUGGCUCGCAUCCUUAGGGUGACUCAGCAUCUUGUCUUUUUUAUUUAUCUUCGGAUCAUUUCCGUCAUCUUCUCGCUUCUUCUCCUCCCUAUCCGCGUGCCAACGUAGGAGCUUUGCUACCUUAGGGUCCGCGAAAUACCGCUGCACAUGAGGAGUGAUCAGAAAGUACCACACCACUUUUCGAGGAGCUUUCUUCCUCUUCUUGUAUCGAGUGAUGCCGCACACCGGACAUAUGGUAGACUCCGCGUGCUCGUCCCGAUAAAUGAUGCAAUUGCUCAUGCACACAUGGUAUUUCACAUGCGGUAAAUCAUAGGACACAUGAUUUUCUUUGCCUCCUCGAAACUGGUCGGCCACUUGUUCCCCUUGGGAAGACGUUCGUGCCAGAAUGACAUGUUCUCAUCGAAGAUGCGUCGGUCAUUUUAUGUUUUACCUUCAUCUCCAGAGGCAUGAAUGUUACUUUCAGGUGGGUAUCCUCGGGCCUGCAUCCUUCAUACAAUGGAGUAAACGCGUCUAUCUCCAGUUGAUCCAGCUUGGCUUUCUCGGGCGGCAGCUCUUGUGUUAUCCGUCUGCUUGAGAAGCAGCUCUUUGAUAUGAGGGUCUUGCACCCAGCCCAUCGAUAGUCCAUCAUCGUCUGCUCCGGCAUCUUCAUCUUCAUGAUCAUGCCCUUUGUCUUGAUCUUCCUCAUCAUCAUGUCCAGCAUCUUCUACAUGAUGACUGUGUACUGCAUCUACUUCGUGAUCAUGUCCUAGAUAUUCUUCGUCUUCUCGCCCGCCCUCGCCGCGGUUGUCUUGCUACCCUUCCUCAUUUCUUGCCCGCCCCCCAUGGACGACUUCAUAAUCAUCUUCAUCACCUUGCCACCGAUAGCUAUCCAUGAAACCACGCAAGAGCAGGUGGUCCCGCACCUGUACGGAAUCCGGGUCCAUAAGGCUCUUCAGCUUGCAUCUUCGACACAGACAUCUUAUCUCCGUCUCGUUCUUUUGAAGCAUCCCGGCCUUCACGGAGCUCAAAAACCUAUCCACGAUGCCUUCGGUCAUCGUGCGGACCAUGGUCGCCUGCAGGGUAGAGCAAAACGAUAUUUUAGAACCAAUUUUUUUUGGCAUGACUUUGCCUAAAAAUAGGACCAAAAAGAAUGCAUAGUGCCAAAUUCUCACCAAAACGGAAAUGAAUCAACAUUCUGGCAAAAUAUUGGCAACUAUCGCAUUUCAAAUACCGGUACCUACAAAUACAAACAUAUGCAACACCACAAACAUAUGCAACACCACAAACAUACGUAGAUCUAGGCCAUAAAAAGUUCAUGUGCACAUUGUUGGAGGGAGAAAAAAGUAGAUCUAGAACAUAAAGAAAGCUUUCCCCUUACUUAUCAAAAAAGGAAAUUUAACCACUUAAUUUGGGUGAAUCUAUGGUGCAAAUGAGGUGAGGAGGAGGAGGCAGUCGAGACAAGCUUGGAGGAGGAGGUGGAGAGAAUGAAGUGGGGAAAGUGAGUGUGGUAGGUGGUUGUCCAAAAUAUCUAGCUGCUCUCAGGUUACCAAUGCGCACCUACUAAGAAUGCACCAUUAGUAACCCUGGUUACUAAUGGCGCUAAUGGCGCACGUGGUAUGUGGUGCGCCAUUACUAGUUUUGAAAAAAAAUGUUAGUAGUGGCGCACCAUGGUUGUGGUGCGCCAUUACUAGUUUUAACUAGUAAUGGCGCACUAUCCCCAGGUGCGCCAUUACUAGUUUUGAAAAAAAAGUAAAAAAAAUUGUUAGUAGUGGCGCACAGAGUGUGUGGUGUGCCAUUACUAGUUAAAACUAGUAAUGGCGCACUAUCCCCUAGUGCGCCAUUACUAGUUUUGAAAAAAAAUGUUAGUAGUGGCGCACUGUGGGUGUGGUGCGCCAUUAGUGAUAUGGACACUAAUGGCGUACCUAUACAUGGUGCGCCAUUAGUGGUCAUAUUAGCUAUAGCCUUUUUUCUAGUAGUGAUCCUUUAAGUAAGUUGUCAUCGGUGCAAUAGGGCAAUAAAAAUUGCUUCUAAAAGUGUUAGAUUAUUUAGUGUAAGAGAAAAUUGAGCGUUGUACGAACUUGUGAUGGCAAAAAAUAAAAGCGACAGACUGCAUAAUAAAGGUUGCUAUCAUAAGGGGCAAUAUAACAUGACGUUCUUUUGCACUUAGGGAUUGAGCAUACAAACAAAAAGCGCAUGGCAACCUCUGCUUCCCUCUGUUAAGGGCCUACUUUUUACUUUUACGUAUUUACUUUAAUGCAAGAGUCAAAGUUUUUCUCUCUAUUCCUUUUUAUUUUUCCCUUUUGGCAAGCAUCAUGUGGUGAGUAAAGAUCUAGGCACAUAUAUCCAGUUGGAUAUGGGUAGCAUGAGUUAUUAUUGUUGGCAUCACCCUUGAGGUGAAUAUGUUGGGAGGCGAAAUUAUAAGCCCCUAUCUUUCUAUGUGUCCGGUUGAAACGUUUUGCUGAUGUGUAUGCGGUGAGUGUUAGCAAUCAUAGAAGACUAUAUGAUGUUGAGUAUGUGGAGCUCUUACUUAAACUCUGUUGAAUAAGUUGAAUUGCAAUUGCUUGGUGACUGAGAACAUAGGUUGUUGAGUUUCAAGAGAAUUCAUUGUUUGAAUCUUAACAUGUGAAUCGGUUGCUAAUUUAAUAUGAGAAGUUUUAUAAGAAAGAAUUGUUGUUAUGAUGCUAGGAAAAGUGAUUGAAAUUGUCAUUGAUCAAACUUGUGCACUUUGCUAGCAUUCACACUUCAUAAAUUAUUUCUUUCAUUAUUUACCUACUCGAGGAUGGUAGGAAUUAAGCUUGGGGAUGUCGAGUAGGUAAAUGAUAAAAACAAAUUUUUUUAUGUGGAAUGUGAUGUCUACUACACAACCUUCUUCUUGUAGACGUUGUUGGGCCUGCAAGUGCACAGGUUUGUAGGACAGUAGCAAAUUUCCCUCAAGUGGAUGACCUAAGGUUUAUCAAUCCGUAAGAGGCGUAGGAUGAAUAUGGUCUCUCUCAAACAACCCUGCAACCAAAUAACAAAGAGUCUCUUGUGUCCCCAACACAACCAAUACAAUAGUAAAUUGUAUAGAUGCACUAGUUCGGCGAAGAGAUGGUGAUACAAGUGCAAUAUGGAUGGUAGAUAAAGGUAUUUGUAAUCUGAAAUUAUAAAAACAGCAAGGUAACAAGUGGUAAAAGUGAGCGUAAAUGGUAUUGCAGUGGAAGGAAACAAGGCAUAGGGUUCAUACUUUCACUAGUGCAAGUUCUCUCAACAAUAAUAACAUAGAUAGAUCAUAUACCAAUCCCUCAACAUGCAACAAAGAGUCACUCCAAAGACACUAAUAGCGGAGAACAAACAAAGAGAUUAUGGUAGGGUACGAAACCACCUCAAAGUUAUUCUUUCGGAUCAAUCUAUUCAAGAGUUCUUACUAGAAUAACACCUUAGGACACAAAUCAACCAAAACCCUAAUGUCACCUAGAUACUCCAUUGUCACCUCAAGUAUCCGUGGGCAUGAUUAUACGAUAUGCAUCACACAAUCUCAGAUUCAUCUAUUCAACCAGCACAAAGUACUUCAAAGAGUGCCCCAAAGUUUCUACCGAAGAGUCAAGAACGUGUGCCAACCCCUAUGCAUAGGUUCAUGGGCGGAACCCGCAAGUUGGUCACCGAAACAUACAUCAAGUGGCACAUGAUAUCCCAUUGUCACCACAGAUAAGCACGACAAGACAUACAUCAAGUGUUCUCAUAAAAUACUCAAUCUGAUAAGAUAACUUCAAAGGGAAAACUCAAUUCAUCACAAGAGAGUAGAGGGGGAGAAACAUCAUAAGAUCCAACUACAAUAACAAAGAUCGGUAUACAUAAAGAUCGUGCCAUAGAGGGAACACGAGUGAGAACAUGAGAGAGAGAGAAAGAUCAAACACAUAGCUACUGGUACAUACCCUCAGCCUCGAGGGUGAACUACUCCCUCCUUGUCAUGGAGAGCGCCGGCAUGAUGAAGAUGGCCACCAGUGAUGGGUUCCCCCUCCGGCAGGGUGCCGGGAAGGGCUCCCGAGAGGUUUCUGGUGGCUACAGAGGCUUGUGGCGGCGGAACUCCCAAUCUAUCUUGAUAUUCGAUGUUUUUAGGGUACGUAGGCUUAUAUAGGAGAAAGAAGUCGGUCGGGAGGUGCUCGAGGGGCCCACGAGAUAGGGGGGCGCCCAGUGGGGGGGCCUCCUAUCUCGUGGCUUCCUCGAUGACCCCCGGCUUGCACUCCAGGUCUCAUGGAUCAUAAUCUUCCCAAAAAUCACGCUGCCGAAGGUUUCGUUCCGUUUGGAUUCAGUUUGAUAUUCCUUUUCUUCGAAAUACUGAAACAGGCAAUAAAACAGCAAUAUGGGCUGGGCCUCCGAUUAAUAGGUUAGUCCCAAAAGUAAUAUAAAAGUGUAUAAUAAAGCCCAUAAUCAUUCAAAACAGAGAAUAAAAUAGCAUGAAUGCUUCAUAAAUUAUAGAUACGUUGGAGACGUAUCAGCAUCCCCAAGCUUAAUUCCUACUCGUCCUCGAGUAGGUAAAUGAUAAAGAAAGAAUUUAUGAAGUGUGAAUGCUAGAGGUGCACAAGUUUGAUCAAUGAUAAUUUCAAUCACCUUUACUAGCAUCAUUAUAUGUCAUAACGGUAGUUCAUCUCAUAAAACUUUUCAUGAACUAGUAACAAGCAAUUCACAUGUUAAAGCAUAGGCCAUAAACUUUCUUGAAAACUAGCAAACUUCAUUGUUAGUCAUCAAACAAUUGCAAUUCAUCUUACUUUCAGGAAGAGUCUAUGUUAGAGCUUUGAUUUAGCAAACUUCACAUACUCAACUAUCAUAUAGUUUUCUACAAUUGCUAACACUCACGCAAUACUUGUGGUUAUGAAGUUUUAAUCAUACACAAAGAAAGAUUGGGGCUUAUAAUGUUGCCUCCAAAUGUAUUCACCUUUGGGUGAUAUCAACAAUAAUAGUUCAUGCUAACGUACAUCCAAUUGGAUAUAUAUAUCAGGAUCACCCAACCACGAAGUGCUUGCCAAAGGAUAAAAUGAAAAAGGGAAAGGUGAAGAUCACCUUGACUCUUGCAUAAAGUAAAAGACAUAAAGUAAAAGAUAGGCCCUUCGCAGAGGGAAGCAGAGGUUGUCAUGCACUUUUAGGGUUGGAUACACAAAAUAUUAAUGCGAAAGAAUGUCACUUUAUAUUGCCCAUUGUAUAUGGACCUUUAUUAUGCAGUCCGUUGCUUUUAUUGCUUCCAUAACAAGUUCGUACAAAGCUUAUUUUGUCCACACUAAUAAGUCAUGCAUAUUUAGAGAGCAAUUUUUAUUGCUUGCACCGAUGACAACUUACUUGAAGGAUCUUACUCAAUCCAUGGCAAAACUGGGUUUAAGGAUAUUUGGAAGCACAAGUAGUAUCUCUACUUGGUGCUAGGAAUUUUAGCUAGCAUGAGGGGGAAAGGCAAGCUCAACAUGUUUGAAUGAUCCAUGACAAUAUACUUUAACUAAGAUGCGAGAAAACAUAACCCAUUACGUUGUCUUCCUUGUCCAACAUCAACUAUUUAGCAUGUCAUACUUAAUGAGUGCUCACAAUUAUAAAAGAGGUCCAUGAUAAUAUAUUUAUAUGUGAAAUCUCUCUUCCUUCAAUAUUCUUUCAUGAAUUGUUCAAAUGACCAAUACAAUGCUUGCUAACCUUGAAUAAAUUUACAACCUCUACUUCUUAUAUGUGAAGUCAUUACUCCCCAUGGCAUAAGCAAAUGAAACAUAUAUAAUUUCAGAUUUAUGACAUUCAACUCAUUCAACCAUUUACUCAUAGGAUAUAAGUGAAUCACACGAGUAAAUGAAAAACUACUCCAAAGAGAUAUAAGUGAAGACCAAUGAGUAGCUAAAUAAUUAUGCAGAUAUGUGAAGACUCUCUCCCAUUUAGGAAUUUCAGAUCUUGGUAUUGUAUCCAAGCAGCAAUCAAAGCAAAAUAAAAAGACAUUGCAAGGAUAGCACAACUCAUGUGAAGAAGCAAAAACUUAGGUUCAACCGAUACUAACCGAUAAUCGUUGAAGAAGAAAGGUGGGAUGCCUACCGGGGCAUCCCCAAGCUUAGAUGCUUGAGACUUCUUGAAAUAUUAUCUUGGGGUGCCUUGGGCAUCCCCAAGCUUGAGCUUUUGUGUCUCCUUAAUUCCUUUUAUAUCUCGGUUUCCUAAAUCUCAAAAGCUUCAUUCACACCAAACUCAACAAGAACUCGUGAGAUAAGUUAGUAUAAAACAAUGCAAAACCUUAUCAUUUUGUACUGUAACAAAUUACUAACAUUAUUAUUCAAAAUUGAAUAUUAAAUGUCUCUGCAUAUUUAAUACUCCUAUCCUCAAAUAGAAUCAUUAAACAAGCAAGCAUAUGCAAACAAUGCAAACAUAACAGCAAUCUGCCAAAACAGUAUAGUCUGUAAAGAAUGCAAAAUUCAUCAUACUUCCCUAACUCCAAAAAUUAUAAGAAAAAUACUAGGCUGUAUGAUAUUUAUCAGAGCUCAUUAUGCAAAAAUAUUCAACAUUAUAUCACUCUCUGACUUUUCUAGGGAAUUUUUGCAACAGCGGUAAACUUUCUGUUUUCAAACAGCAACAUGUAUACUAGAAAAAUAAGCAUGGCAAAGGCUAUCCUUGACCUUUUUUUAUUGAAAAUAAAGAUGCAAUACAUUAUUCUAAAUAAUAUCAAGCAAAUACUAAAAAAAGAAAAUGACACUCCAAGCAAAACACAUAUCAUGUGGCGAAUGAAAAUAUAGCUCCAAGUAAAGUUACCGAUGAACGAAGACGAAAGAGGGGAUGCCUUCCGGGGCAUCCCCAAGCUUAUUUGCUUGGUUGUCCUUGAAUAUUACCUUGGGGUGCUUUGGGCAUCCCCAAGCUUAGGCUCUUGCCACUCCUUAUUCCAUAGUCCAUCAAAUCUUUUACCCAAAACUUGAAAACUUCAACCACACAAAACUCAAAACAAAAUUCGUAAGCUCCGUUAGUACAAGAAGGAAAACCACCACUUUAAGGUACUGUAAUGAACUCAUUAUUUAUUUAUACUUGUGUUAAACCUACUGUAUUCCAACUUCUAUAUGGUUCAUACCCCUUAAUACUAGCCGUAGAUGCAUCAAAAUAAGCAAACAACACAAUGAAAACAGAAUCUGUCAAAAACAGAACAGUCUGUAGUAAUCUGUAUCAAACAUAUACUUCUGGAACUCAAAUAAUUAUGAAAUAAAUUGGUGGACCUGAGGAAUUUGUCUAGUAAUCAUCUGCAAAAAUAAUCAACCUAAAAUCACUCUCCAGUAAAAAAUGUUAGCCAUUCUCGUGAGUGCUAAAGUUUCUGUUUUUUACAGCAAGAUCACAAAGACUUCACCCAAGUCUUCCCAAAGGUUCUACUUGGCACUUUAUUGAAACAAAAGCUAUAAAACUUGAUUACUACAGUAUCAUAAUCAUGUGAACACACAAAAACAUUAAGGGUAAAUAUUGGGUUGUCUCCCAACAAGCGCUUUUCUUUAAUGCCCUUUUAGCUAGGCAUGAUGAUGACAAUGAUGCUCACAUAAAGGAUAAGAAUUGAAACAUAAGGAGAGCAUCAUGAAGCAUAUCACUAGCACAUUUAAGACUAACCCACUUCCUAUGCAUAGGUAUUUUGUGAGAAAACAACUUAUGGGAACAAUAAUCAACUAGCAUAGGAAGGUACAACAAGCAUAGCUUCAAGAUUUUAAGCACAUAGGGAGGAAACUUGAUAUUAAUGCAAUUCCUACUAGCAUAUAUUCCUCCCUCAUAAUAAUGUUCAGUAGCAUCAUGAAUGAAUUCAACAAUAUAACCAGCACCUAAAGCAUUCUUUUCAUGAUCUACAAGAACACACAAUUUACUACUCUCCACAUAGGCAAAUUUCUUCUCAUGAAUAAUAGUGGGAGCAAACUCAACAAAAUAACUAUCAUGUGAGGCAUAAUCCAAUUGAAAACUAAAAUCAUGAUGACAAGUUUCAUGGUUAUCAUUAUUCUUAAUAGCAUACAAGUCAUCACAAUAAUCAUCAUAGAUAGCAACUUUGUUCUCAUAAUCAAUUGGAACCUCUUCCGAAAUAGUGGAAUCAUCACUAAAUAAAGUUGACACUCUUCCAGAUCCACUUUCACAUUCAUCACAAUAAGAUUCAAUAUACUCCAAAAUAGUGGGAUCACUACUUCCUAAAGUUGACACUCUUCCAAACCCACUUUCAUCAAUAUAAUCAUCAUAAAUAGGAGGCAUGCUUUCAUCAUAAUAAAUUUGCUCAUCAAAACUUAGGGGACAAAAAAUAUCAUAUUCAUCAAACAUAGCAUCCCCAAGCUUGUGGCUUUGCAUAUCAUUAGCAUCAUGGAUAUUCAAGGAAUUCAUACUAACAACAUUGCAAUCAUGCUCAUCGUUCAAAUAUUUAGUAUCAAGCAUUUUAAUGCAUUCUUCUUCUAGCACUUGAGCACAAUUUUCCUUUCCAUCAUUCUCACGAAAAAUAUUAAAAAGAUGAAGCGUAUGAGACAAACUCAAAUCCAUUUUUUUGUAGUUUUCUUUUUAUAAACUAAACUAGUGAUAAAACAAGAAACUAAAAGACUCGAUUGCAAGAUCUAAAGAUAUACCUUCAAGCACUCACCUCCCCGACAACGGCGCCAGAAAAGAGCUUAGUUGACGGGGUGUGAGUGCCGUUUACCUUGCCUCCCCGGCAACGACGCCAGAAAAGAGCUUGAUGUCUAUGACACAACCUUCUUCUUGUAGACGUUGUCGGGCCUGCAAGUGCACAGGUUUGUAGGACAGUAGCAAAUUUCCCUCAAGUGGAUGACCUAAGGUUUAUCAAUCCGUAGGAGGCGUACGAUGAAGAUGGUCUCUCUCAAACAACCCUGCAACCAAAUAACAAAGAGUCUCUUGUGUCCCCAACACACCCAAUACAAUAGUAAAUUGUAUAGGUGCACUAGUUCGGCGAAGGGAUGGUGAUACAAGUGCAAUAUGGAUGGUAGAUAAAGGUAUUUGUAAUCUGAAAUUAUAAAAACAGCAAGGUAACAAGUGGUAAAAGUGAGCGUAAAUGGUAUUGCAAUGGUAGGAAACAAGGCAUAGGGUUCAUACUUUCACUAGUGCAAGUUCUCUCAACAAUAAUAACAUAGAUAGAUCAUAUAAUAAUCCCUCAACAUGCAACAAAGAGUCACUCCAAAAAGACACUAAUAGCGGAGAACAAACAAAGAGAUUAUGGUAGGGUACAAAACCACCUCAAAGUUAUUCUUUCGGAUCAAUCUAUUCAAUAGUUCUUACUAGAAUAACACCUUAAGACACAAAUCAACCAAAACCCUAAUGUCACCUAGAUACUCCAUUGUCACCUCAAGUAUCCAUGGGCAUGAUUAUACGAUAUGCAUCACACAAUCUCAGAUUCAUCUAUUCAACCAACACAAAGUACUUCAAAGAGUGCCCCAAAGUUUCUACCGGAGAGUCAAGAACGUGUGCCAACCCCUAUGCAUAGGUUCAUGGGCGGAACCCGCAAGUUGGUCACCGAAACAUACAUCAAGUGGCACAUGAUAUCCCAUUGUCACCACAGAUAAGCACGGCAGGACAUACAUCAAGUGUUCUCAUAAAAGACUCAAUCCGAUAAGAUAACUUCAAAGGGAAAACUCAAUUCAUCACAAGAGAGUAGAGGGGGAGAAACAUCAUAAGAUCCAACUACAACAACAAAGCUUGGGAUACAUCAAGAUCGUACCAUAGAGGGAACACGAGAGAGAACACGAGAGAGAGAGAGAGAUCAAACACAUAGCUACUCGUACAUACCCUCAGCCCCGAGGGUGAACUACUCCGUCCUUGUCAUGGAGAGCACUGGGUUGAUGAAGAUGGCCACCGGUGAUGGGUUCCCCCUCCGGCAGGGUGCCGGGAAGGGCUCCCGAGAGGUUUCUGGUGGCUACAGAGGCUUGCGGAGGCGGAACUCCCGAUCUAUCUUGAUAUUCGAUGUUUUUAGGGUACGUAGGCUUAUAUAGGUGAAAGAAGUCGGUUGAGAGGUGCUCGAGGGGCCCACGAGACAAGGGGGUGCGCCCAGUAGGGGGGGGGGGCGCCCUCCUAUCUCGUGGCUUCCUCGAUGACCCCCCGGCUUGCACUCCAAGUCUCCUGGAUCAUAAUCUUCCCAAAAAUCACGCCGCCAAAGGUUUCAUUCCGUUUGGACUCCGUUUGAUAUUCCUUUUCUUCGAAAUACUGAAACACGCAAUAAAACAUCAAUAUGGGCUGAGCCUCCGGUUAAUAUGUUAGUCCCAAAAGUAAUAUAAAAGUGUAUAAUAAAGCCCAUAAUCAUUCAAAACAGAUAAUAAAAUAGCAUGAAUGCUUCAUAAAUUAUAGAUACGUUGGAGACGUAUCAGAAUGCUGCCUAACAUGUCAUCUCAUAUCCUUUCUUUGUAGCAUGGAUAUUUGGACUUUUAUAUGGUUCAAAGCAAUAGUCCAGUUUUGACAUGAGGACUUAAAUACUCAAGCAUACCAACAAGCAACCAUGUCUUUCGAAAUAUCAACGCUAAAAUAAGUUAUCCCUAGCCUAUCAUGCUCAAUCAUUGGUCCAUUCAUGAAAUACACUCGCAUAUUAGCUACACCAAUGCUCAAGUACGAUCAUAGUGCCCCCUAGUUGGUGCUUUAUAAGAGAAGCUGGAGACUCAAAUUAAAAAUAAAAAUUGCAUAAAGUAAAAGAAAGGCCCUUCGCGGAGGGACAUAGGAAUUUGUAGAGGUGCUAGAGCUCAAAGCAAAAAACAUAGAGAUAACAACAUUUUUGGAGGCAAGCUUUUCCUGUCAACGAGAACGAUCGAGUAGUUCCCAAUACUUUCCAUGCUAGAUAUAUCAUAAGCGAUUCCCAAACAGAAAUUAAAGUUUAUUCCUUUUUCAACCAUACUUUCACUUUCCAUGGCUAGCCGUAUCCACGGGUGCCUUCCAUACCAACACUUUUCAAGGAAUUUAUUAUUUGACAAUAUAAAGUAAAUUGAUUUUUCAUUUCGGGACUAGGCAUCCCUAAUACCUUUGCCUUACUCUCAUGCAAUGACAAGUGAAUAAACACUCAUCGCGAGAAUAACAUAUCUAGCAUGGGAAUAUGUUAGCCACCCCCUACAGGUUCAUGGAUGGUACGAGCACAUAAAAGAGAAGCUUAUUUUGAAAAUUAGAGAUGACACAUACAAAUUUGCUUAGAACGGCAAAAGAAUACCGCAUAUAGGUAGGUAUGGUGGACUCAUGUGGCAAAACUGAUAUAAAGGAUUUUGGAUGCACAAGUAGUGAUCAUACUUAGUGCAAAAUGAAGGCUAGCAAAAGAUUGAGAAGCGACUAACCAAGAAAUGAAAAAUCUCAUAAGCGAGCAUUGAGCAUAAUUAACACCGAAUAAUGCACCACAAGUAGGAUGUAAUUUCAUUGCACAAGUAUUGACUUCCGUGCUUGCAUAGGGAAUCACAAACCUUAACACCAAUAUUCUUACCAAAGCAUAAUUACUCAUCAACAUGAUUCACAUAUCACAUCAUCAUAUCUCAAAACUAUUAAAAGGAAUCAAGUUUAUUUUGUCCAAUGAUCUUCAUGAAAGUUUUUAUUAUAUCCUUCUUGGACAUCUAUCACUUUGGAACUAAUUUUCAUGUGUUGCUUCCAAUAAGCUCAAACGAAUAUAAGUGAAGAUCAUGAGCAUAAUAUUUCUUUCUCUCAAAUUAAUUUAAGUUAAGCAAGAGAGAAUUUAUUAAAAAAAUUACUAACUCUCAAAUAAAUCUAAGUGAAGCAAGAGAGCAUUUCUUCCAAAAUACUAAAGCACACCGUACUAAAAAAGAUAUAAGUGAAGCACUAGAGCAAUUCCAUAGCUCAUAAAAAAUUAAGUGAAGCAUAGAGAGCAAUUCUAACAAGUCAUGGCAUAAAUUUGGCUCUCUCAAAUAGGUGUGUCCAGCAAGGAUUCAAGACUUAAAACAAAAAGCAAAACAAGCAAAGACUCAUAUCAUACAAGACGCUCCAAGCAAAACUCAUAAUAUGUGACGAAUAAAAAUAUGGUUUCGAGUAAAAUACCGAUGAAGAAAGAGGGGAUGCCACUCAGGCAUCCCCAAGCUUAGUUGCUUGCUUCUCUUUGGAUAAUGGCUUGGGAUGCCAUGGUCAUCCCCAAGCUUAGGCUCUUCUUACUCCUUAUUCCUUCAUCCAUCGUAAUAUCACCUAAAACUUGAAAACUUCAAUCACACAAAACUCAGCAAAACCUUUGUGAGAUCCGUUAGUAUAAGAAAACAAAUCACUACUAUAAGUACUGUUGCAACCCAUUCAUAUUUUAUUCUUGCAUUAUAUCUAUUGUAUUCCAACUUUUCUAUGGCAAAAAAUCUUCAAAGAAAACCAUAGAAUCAUCAAAACAAGCACACAACGCAAAGAAAAUAGAAUCUAUCAAAAAAUGAAUAGUCUGUAGCAAUCUGGAUAUUCAGAAUACUUAUGAAACUCCAAAAAUUCUAAAAAAUUAGGACAACCUGAGAAAUUUGUACAUUAAUCUUCUGCAAAAAGAAUUGGCAUUUCAUCACGCCUUCUAUUAAAAAUGAAAAUUAUUUUCAUGAGCAUGUAAGUUUCUAUUUUUCAGCAAGAUCGAAACAACUAUCACCAAAGAAGAUCCUAAAGGCUUUGCUUGGAACAAACACUAAUUGAAACACAAAAACAUAAUCAUGAUAGUAGCAUAAUUGUGCAAACACUCAAGAACAGAAAGCAAAAUACAAAAAUAAAUUUUAUUCAUUGGUUUGCCUCCCAACAAGUGCUAUCGUUUUACGUCCCUAGAUAUGCAUAAAGCACGGAUCUAAGUUUUUUCAUCCUUGUCCUUAAUUUCCUUAGAGGUGUUUUUGUCAUGAGGUUUUGUAAAACUAACAUAAAACAUAUUAUCCAUAGAAACCUUAGCACUAUUAAGUUGCUUAUCAACAUAACCCCUUUGAUUUCCGACAACAAUCCAAGAGUAAUGUUGAUUAAAAUUAUUGAAAACUUGUUGGAUUAUAUCUAAAAUGGGGACUUCCUUUUAAAGAUUCUCAUCAAAGAUUUGAUUAUCCCAAAGCAAAAUGUCUUAAUGCAUAAUCACUAUUGUAAAUAAUUUCAUCUAUCACGGGCUUUUCACGAUCCAUACCCAUUUCCCUAGCUUCCCGUAUUAUGUAGUCAAAUUCAUUCAUAAGAAUGAGAGUGGCCAACUUUUUAUCCUUAGGAUUCUUUAUAAUGGGAGGCUCAAAAAACAAUCUUUGCAAAGUAGGAUGAGUACAGAUAAAUUUACUUUCAAGUUUCAGAACUAGUGCUGAAAUAGCAUUCGCAUAAGAUCUAGUGUUUCUAAGUAUAGGAGCAUCAUCAAGACUUAGAUUUCCAACACAAUUGAAAAAUUCUUGGAUACAUUCUUUUCCCAUAACAUUCCCUUGCCCCAAGAUAAAAGUUUUAGCAUCCAGUUUGCCCGUGCAUCCAAUGUUAGGAGUUACGCCAUCAUCUGUUGCUUCCAUACCGAAAUCACUCAUGAUUGCAGGCAAAAGAUAGAUCUGGCGAGAAAAAUGGCGAACCAAAAAGAGGGCGAAUAAAAUGGCAAAUUUUUGUGAAGUGGGGGAGAGGAAAACGAGAGGCAAAUGGAAAAUAAUGUAAAUUGCAAGGAGAUGGGAUUUUUGAUUAGGAACCUGGUAGAUGUUGAUGAUGUCUCCCCGGCAACGGCGCCAGAAAUUCCUUUUGAUGUCUGCUAGACUACGUCGGUAUUUCCCCAAAGAGGAAGGGAUGAUGCAGCACAACGAUGGUAGGUAUUUCCCUCAGUGAUGAGACCAAGGUUAUCAAAUCAGUAGGAGAACCAAGCAACACUACGUAAACAACACGUGCACACAAAUAACAAAUACUCGCAACCCGACGUAUUAAAGGGGUUGUCAAUCCCUUUUGGGUAACGGCGCUAGAAAUUGGCAAACGGCCGUGAGAAAGUUGUAAUAAGUUGAUAGAUCGAACACCAAAUAAAAUAAAGUGAAGCAAGGUAUUUUUGUAUUUUUUUGGUUUAAUAGAUCUGAAAAUAAAAGCAAAGGAAAAUAGAUCGCAAAGGCAAAUAUAAUAAAGAAGAGACCUGGGGGCCAUAGGUUUCACUAGUGGCUUCUCUGGAGAAAAAUAGCAAUCAGUGGGUAAAUGAAUUACCGUUGGGUAAUUGAUAGAACUUUAAAUAAUCAUGACGAUAUCCAUACAAUGAUAGUUAUAUAGGCAUCACGUUCAAGAUUAGUAGACCGACUCCUGCCUGCAUCUACUACUAUUACUCCACACAUCGACCGCUAUCCAGCAUGCAUCUAGUGUAUUAAGUUCAUGGAAAAACGGAGUAAUGCAAUAAGAACAAUGACAUGAUGUAGACAAGAUCUAUUUAUGUAGAAAUAGACCCCAUCUUGUUAUCCUUAACAGCAACGAUACAUACAUAUCGGUUCCCCUUCUGUCACUGGGAUCAAGCACCGUAAGAUCGAACCCAUCACAAAGCACAUCUUUCCAUUGCAAGAUAAAUAGAUCAAGUUGGCCAAACAAAAACCAAAUAUCAGAGAAGAAAUACGAGGCUAUAAGCAAUCAGCCAUAUAAGAGAUCAAAGAAGACUCAAAUAACUUUCAUGGAUAAAAAGAUAGAUCUGAUCAUAAACUCAAAGUUUAUCCGACCCCAACAAACACACCGCAAAAAGAGUUACAUCAUAUGGAUCUCCAAGAGACCAUUGUAUUGAGAAUCAAAAGAGAGAGAGAGGAAGCCAUCUAGCUACUAACUACGGACCCAUAGGUCUACAAAGAACUACUCACACCUCAUCGGAGAGGCACCAAUGGACAUGAUGAAUCCCUCCGUGAUGGUGUCUAGAUUGGAUCUGGUGGUUCUGGAACUUGCGGCGGCUGGAAUUGAUUUUUGUUGACUCCCCUAGACUUUCUGAAAUAUUGGGGUAUUUAUAGAGUAAAGAGGCAAUUCAGGAGGCAACCGAGGUGGGCACAACCCACCAGGGUGCACCUGGGCCUCCAGGCGUGCCCUGGUGGGUUGUGCUCCCCUCGGAGCACCCCCCCCCCCAGGUGCUCAUUCGGCCCACUGGAUGUCUUCUGGUCCAUAAAAAAUCCACAAAAAGUUUCGCUGUGUUUGGACUCCGUUUGGUAUUGAUUUCCUGUGAUGUAAAAAAACAUGCAAAAAACAACAACUCGCACUUGGCCCUAUGUCAAUAGGUUAGUACCAAAAAUGAUGUAAAUGAUUAUAAAAUGAUUGUAAAACAUCCAAGAAUGAUAAUAUAACAGCAUGGAACAAUAAAAAAUUAUAGAUACGUUGGAGACGUAUCAGGCGCCAUGACUCUUACGUGGUCCCACUGCCUUGCCCGCGUGGCUCUUGAGACUUCACAACCGUGCCUCUGUAACCGAGCAUUUUGACACAUGCCUCUGCCACCACACUCUUGUGCAUCCGCAGGGUUGAUACCCAUGCCUCGAGAAGCUGCAAGUCCGUGCCUGUGUUGCCUUAAUGUUGUGCCGCCCAUUCCUACAUCCAUGUGCCUCACGUGACACUUGCCGUGACUCUUACAUGCCCCAUAGUGCCACACCCACGUGACUUCACGACCAUGGUUCUCUAACUGAGUAUUCGGACCCAUGCCUCUGCCACCACAUUUUUGUGCAUCCGGAGGGUCCACACAUGUGACUCGAAAAUCCCCACGUACGUACCUGUGGUGGCUUCACUUUUGUGCCUUUCGUGCCUGCACCCACGUGCCUAACAUGACAGGCACCAUGAGUCUUACGUGUCCUGGUGCCACGCCCGCGUGGCUCCUGAUACUUCACAACCAUGCCUCUUAACCGAGCAUUCUGACACAUGCCUCUGCCACCACACUCUUGUACAUCCACAGGGUUGAUACCCGUGCCUCGAGAAGCCACAAGUCCGUGCCUGUGUUGCCUUCAAUGUUGUGCCUCUCGUGCCUACAUCCAUGUGCCUCAUGUGAUACUUGUCGUGACUCUUAAAUGCCCCGUGGUUCCAAACCUCCGUGGCUUGACAGACUUCACAACCGUGCCUCUCUAAGUGAGUGUUACAAGCUUCACUUCCGUGCCUCCUGUGCCUGUAGAACAUGCACUUCCGUGCCUCAUGUGCCUGCAUCCACAUGCCUGUAGAGAGGCUUCACUUCCGCACUACCAGCCUCACCACUAAAAUAAAAAAAUUCUAGCAAACAAGAAAAAACCAGCCAAACAGAACGAAUCUUGAUGCUCAAAUGGACGGUUGAAGAUUAGAGACGGUUCGAUGGUUUCCAUCCCCCCUCCCUCUUCUACUCUCUUGAUUCCCCUCUCGCAUAGUAAAUCUCAAAACCUUCAUCACUCCCGCAUGGUCUCCUCCUUCCUUCUGCACACAAAAACAAAUUCGAAAUCGAGUUCGCGUCACCGGACAACUGCCACCACGUUCGCCAACCGCCCUCCACUUCGACAUACAGACUGUCAAACGCUGCCCGAGACAACACCAAGAACCCCGCCGGCUGUGGCGAGUGACAGCGAGGACUUCAACACCGGCGGCGGAAAUCGCAACAAAAAAGGGCAACGACACAAUAAGCCCAUGGAAGUGAGGAACACUACACAAGUAAUUGAAGGUAAUUAUCAUUCUAUCCCAUUCCAUUCCACCGGGUAGAUCGUAGUGAUUUUUCCACUUCGAGGGACAGCAACCCUAGCCAUCACUACCAAGGAGUUUUCCAAUACCCUAAAUCAAUUUGUCUAACAAAUUGAACUAGCGUACAAAUGAGAUUUAAUAGAAAUGCUACUGCUCUCUGCCCUGGAAUUUUCGCUACACGAUAUGUGCUUAAUGGUACUAGACCCGCCACAUCACUAACUAGAAUACCGCAAUAGAUCCAAACCCCACAAGCAUCCUGAGAGGCCAAACCUGAUAAUCACAUGUGAUUUUCUACAUCCCUUGUCCCUUGACUAUAACUGUUUUUCAAAUUAAGUGCCUCUGGUGUGAAAACCGUGAACAAAGAAUAGGUGUACCUAUGCUUCUAGGGUGAAACAACCUGUGCCUCUCUAUCCAUACAAUUUUUUUUCACACAACACAUUUUUUUCCUAUGACACUCAACUCUGCUUCUAACACCUGGCCAUUUUUCAUGCAGUAAUGAGAAAGCCUCAUGAAGAACCUAACACCCAGCAAGGUACUGACGAAGACCCUGAGGAAGAGCAUGCAAUCCAGCAAGCUCCUGUCAAAGGUUUGAGCAAAGUGUCCACUGUUGAUCUGCCAAAAACUAUAUAGAGACAUUAAUAACUUCACUGCUCUCCUUGACAAUAAUAACUUAACUAUUCUACAAAUAAAUCUACCUGUCCCUUUUUAUAUAUAUCUUUAUAGAGAACAUAAAAAAUGUGCACACACUAUCUUGUUUUUAAUUCAAAAAGAGUUUAUCUUACCUGGUAAAUCUUCGACUCUGCUUAAUGAUAUCCCUCCCAUUAUUAAAUAUCACCUGGAGUGUGCAUUUUUGUCUCAGAAAAUGCUUCACCCUAACUUCACUUCCUCAGCUGCACUUAUAACCCUAAUUCAUAUUUUCUAUCCCCUGAUUAGCUCAAUCGGAAACAGUAUUAAUAACCUUUUUUAACCCAAGGAAAAGAAACAAAAAAGCCCCUUUGGGAGUUUCACAUUCCUUAUGAAUAAUUGUGGAAGAUAUAUAUUUUAAAUUUGUAUCAAAAAAUUUCGGAAAAAAAUAUAUCCUUUUUUGUUACCUGGUCAUUAUGCAAGACACGAAGACGGUGAUAUUGAAAUCAGAGAAACACACAACAUCUCUCCUCAUUCAUCAGAAAAGGGCACACGACAAAACAUCAAGAAUAGAGCACCUGCGGCAGAAAUGGUAACUUACACCAGGCUCAAUAGGAGUAAACAUCUAGCAACAAGCAAAAAAGAGAAAAACAUAUACCAACACUGUUUUUACUCCUGGAGGAAAAAGGCAAAAGCAAAAGGAUAAUACUGAAAACAUCGUCGACACUAGUACCUUGCAUCAUCAACCAAUACCUCUAAUGGUACUCCCGCCAACAGCACCAACAACUACAAAGAAACAAGGUGAAAGCAAGAAGAAAAACAAACGACAAAGGGUAGAAGAAGAACAAGAUGAUGCUGACAGCAAAGAUUCAGAUACCGAUGAUGCCGACGAUGACAGACAACAUGAUGCAUAUUUCAUUCCUACUGACGGCGAUGAUGCCGAAGAGCACGACAAUGACGCAGAAGAGGACGAGAAAAUACACUUAUGUACUAAUUUUGAAUACCACUAUUCAACACUCAAAAUCGAACAUUCCUUUCUAACAAAACCCUUUUUUUUCUGAAACAACCCAAAUCAAGCCAGAAGGACGUGAAGAGGAGAAAGACAAGCGAAAAGAAUUGGAAGCACCAACAGUUGAUGAACACGAGGAAGCAACAAAUGAAGACAAAUGCCUAAUCAAGGCAGGGGCAGCAUUCGCUCAUGUCAAGAAAGCACAGAAAUUACUUAAAGAACGUCACAUGCAAGAUGUUAGGAGGGAAGGAUUUGACAACAUAGAGAACUGCCAAAUAAUGGGCUCCAUCUGCAGAUCGCUUGCAGCACACAUGUAUGACAAUCUGGACAUAGAAAGCAUGACAAUAACCUUCGGUGAUGCUACCGAAGACAAAAAUAUCAAGAUUACCAAGGAACCUAUCCACAAGGUCUUUAGAUACCCAAAUGGCAUGAAAAAUUUGGUACUGAUAUGUCCCCAACAUAUCUACUUUUCCUAACGCUUUUCCUAUUGUUUUGGACUCUAAUUUGCAUGAUUUGAAUGAAACUAGCCCCGGACUGACGCUGUUUUUAGCAGAACUACCAUGGUGUUGUUUUUGUACAGAAAUAAAAGUUCUCGGAAUGGAACGAAAAUUUGCAACGAAUUUUUAUAUAAUAAAUAAGAAUUUCUGGAGCCAAGAUCUACCGGAGAGGGGCACCUGGGUGGGCACAACCCACCAGGGCACGCCCCCCUCUCUUGGUGCGCCCAGGUGGGUUGUCCCCACCUGGUGGCCCUGCAGACCCUGAAACCGAUGCUAUAAAAUCCUAUUUUCCAGAAAAAAUGAGGGAGAAAGAAUUACCGUGAUCCACGAGAUGGAGCCACCGUCACCUCCUGUUCUUCAUUGGGAGGCCAGAUCUGGAGUCCGUUUGGGGCUCCGGAGAGGGGGAUCUUCGUUCUCGUCAUCACAAACCCUUCUCCAUCGCCAAAUUCCAACCGGGAGUGUGUAAUUCCUUUGUAGGCUCGCUGGUCGGUGAGGAUUUGGAUGAGAUUCAUCAUGUAAUCAAGUUAGUUUUGUUAGGGAUUCAUCCCUUGUAUCCACUAUGUUCUUAGAUUGAUGUUGCUAUGACUUUGCCAUGCUUAAUGCUUGUCGCUUUGGGCCCGGGUGCCAUGAUUUCAGAUCUGAACCGUUCAUGUUAUCACCAUUAUAUCCAUGUUCUAGAUUCGAUCUUGCAAGUUAUAGUCACCUACUACAUGUUAUGAUCUGGCAACCCCGGAGUGACAAUAGUCGGUGUCGGUGUCAAAACCGACAGAUCUCGGGUAGGGGUUCCCGAACUGUGUGUCUAAGGAUCGAAGGUAACAGGAGGCAGGGACACGAUGUUUACCCAGGUUCGGGCCCCCUUAAUGGAGGUAAGACCCUACUUCCUGCUUUGAUUGACUUUGAUGAGUAUAGGGGUUACAAGAGUUGAUCUACCUCGAGAUCGUAAUGGCUAAACCCUAGAUGUCUAGCCUAUAUGAUUAUGAUCGCCUCUAUGGACUAAACCCUCUGUUUUAUAUAGACAUCGGUGGGGGCUAGGGUUGUACAGAUUCGGUUUACAGAGAAAGGAAUCUUCAUAUCUGAAUGCUAAGCUUGCCUUCCACGCCAAGGGGAGUCCCUUUCGGACACAGGGGAAGCCUUCUAUCUUGUACCUUCACGGCCCAUCAGUCCGGCCCAUGUCACAUAGCCCGGGCGCCCAGGGACCCCCUAAUCCAGGACUCCCUCAGUAGCCCCUGAACCAGGCUUCAAUGACAAUGUGUCCGGCGUGCAGAUUGUCUUCGGCAUUGCAAGGCGGGUUCCUCCUCAGAAUACUCCAAAGUAGUUGAUCAAAAGAACUAUAUCCGGCUCUGUAAAAUAGUCACAACCCUGAAUCACAAGGGCAAAACACUUAAGCAAAAAUAAGUUCUGUCUUCUGACAACUUUGCUGGUGGGACGUUAUGUCCGACCACUUCAUUAUUUCGAAUCAUUUUUUGACCUCCUGUUUCAUGUUUCGAGAUGCAGCCUCCGGAGACACGUCUUGUCAAAGCAGAGAUUGUGUCCCCUUAUUACGGGAUUCUCAGCAAUACGGGUUUGGGAAACCCAACUGUGCCGUUCACACGACCCCUUGGAAAUAGGCGAGCUUUAAGGCUCGUGGUGGGACGCUUGAUAGUCACUGCCUUUAUAAGGAGAUAAGGAUCCACCUUUUCUACCCCACACCUUCUUCCUCCUCAGCCUAUCCACCCUCGAGCUCCAACGCCCAAGUCUCAACCUUUUUCGUCCCCCGCAAACAUUCCAGCCAUGUUCGGAUCUGGAGCGCAGGGCAAAUGGAUGGCCUCCUCUGUCAUGGAGGGGAACAUCCAGGAGCUCCGGGAAGCGGGGUACCUAGCCAAGGAAAUCGCCCACCGGCUUCCAGCCGAAAAGCAGAUUGUCCCCACUCCAGAGCCCAAUGAGAGGGUAGUAUUCAUCCCCCAUUUCCUUCAUGGACUAGUAUUUCCCCUUCAUCCUUUCGUCUACGGUCUCAUGUUCCUUCCUCAACAUUUUGGUGUUCAUCAUCGUAUGCGAGGCAUUCCUGUGCAUUCCCCCACUUCGGCCUAUGGCUCAAGGUCUUCAAUGUGAAGCCGAAAGUGGUGGAUGGCCAACAUGCGGAGUGCGGAGGCGCCAUGGUGAGCAAGCUUCCCAACGUCACCUGGCCCAAG
rnacentral:lncRNA from 1 species